UUUUUUCUUCCCCUUUAAUAAUAGUACCAAGCCAAAAGGUGCCUACAAAGAUGGAAGUUAAGAACAAGUAUGCAGCAAUAAAAGCCAACAUAAAUGGUGCACCAGAAGAGUCAGACUUCGAGAUAAAAGUCGAAAACCUCUCACUUAUAGUUGAGCCAGGGUCUAAGGUGGUGGCUGUCAAGAACCUGUUUGUAUCGAUUGAUCCGUAUCAGAUAAACCGGAUGAAGAGCCAAAGUUCAUCACAAUCAUCGAUAAGUUAUGCAACUGCCAUUACUCCUGAAGAGGUCAUAAACACUAAUGGUGUAGGAAGAGUGUUGGCUUCUCAUCGGCCUGACUUUAAGAAAGAUGAUUUGGUAGCAGGCUUUCUUACCUGGGGAGAGUACACUAUGGUAAAGGAAGGUUCCCUGUUGAAUAAGUUGGAUCCUAGUCUGGCGUUUCAUUUGUCUUACCAUGUCGGAGUAUUUGGAUUCAGUGGACUUGUUGCCUAUGGUGGAUUCUUCGAAGUGUGUAAGCCGAAGCCAGGGGAGAAAGUUUUUGUAUCUCCUGCUUCUGGUUCAAUAGGACAUUUAGUAGGACAGUAUGCUAAAUUACUAGGAUGUUAUGUUGUUGGCUCUGCUGGUAGCCAAGAAAAGGUAAAUUUUCUUAAGGAGACACUUGGAUUCGACGAUGCAUUCAAUUAUAAACAAGAAACUGACCUCAAAUCGGCUCUCAAAAGGUGUUUCCCUCAAGGGAUUGAUGUCUACUUUGACAACGUGGGAGGCAAGAUGCUAGAAGCAGCAUUGGCAAACAUGAACUCAUUGGGUAGAGUAGCCAUCUGUGGGGUUAUUUCUGAGUACACGAAUGCUAGCACAUGAGCUUCCCCGGAAAUGUUGGAUAUAGUCUACAAGGGGAUUAGCAUCCAAGGAUUCCUACAGCUGAUCUCAUGACAGUGUAUGCAGAUUUCCUGUCUAAAACAGUUGAGUACCUCCAUGAUGGAAAACUUAAGGCCAUCGAAGAUAUCUCACAAGGCGUUGAAAGCAUUCCCUCUGCUUUUAUUGGACUGUUCAAUGGUGAUAAUAUAGGCAAAAAGAUUGUCAAACUUGCAGAUGAGUGAAAAAAAGAACAAGAAAUUUAAGACUGUCGACCUAAUUGUUCAUGAAUUCGCGACCAAUAUCUGUACUUCUUUCAAGUUGUAAUCCAUUUAAACGUUCGUCUUCUGCAUCAAGUUAAAGAACAAGUUUAUGUAUUAUGCCUAUCAGAUUCUUGUUUAGUUUUCCUUUCCAUGUAUCCUAGAUUGAAACAAACUUUGUGACCCUAUUGUCUACCAACUAUGCCUCAAUCCCAAAUUUAGUUGACUAUAUAUAUCUUUUAUAUCAACGCAACAAAGUGGAAAAAUACAUCUUUAGCAACUACUUCAAGACCACCACAAGAUAAAAUAGCAGCUGAGUCUACUGAAAUAGCAGCAAAGUAAAGUGACAAUGGAUGUACAUAAGUUUGUUUCAAUAGAAUGACACGAUAGAAAACACUAAUGUACUAGUAUCACAGUAGAAACAAAAUUUGAGAGGAAUGGAUCAGGAAGGGGAUGAACGUAAUACCAAGUGUUACAUUAACGGCGUUAAUAUUGAACCUGCAGUCUUCCUUCCAUUCAAACAGAUUGUCAACAGCCUCUGCCAAUGCAGAAUAAACCACUAGUUUGUUGUGUUUUCAAGAAAUUAUGGUCCUACAAUUGCAGCCACAGGAAGACGCACACAUAUUAGUGAAUGCUUCAGCAUAAGGCUAUUCAUCCUUGAGGGGGAGUGGUUAAAAGGCACCACAAAGACGCUUAACCGCAGUUCCCCUGGAGAGCAAAGAACAAGCCAAAACUAGCACUCAUCAACUUGCAACACCUUUUUUUGAAGGAGAACUAAUUGCAAUAUAAGGGAAAAGAAUUCAUAAUAUGGACUAUUAUCAUCACAAGUAUCAUGUGACAGAUCAACAUCUAGUUCAGAUCGAUCUACAAAAAACACACAUUCAAGGGAAGGAGAAGCUUGUUCAACAUUUUGUUAUGAUGAACUUGACUUUAAGCUACCAACAAUGUGAGACGCAAUUUAGCAGACAUAGGUAACUCUCGCUCUAUACAUGCACAUGGUAUGGUAAUAACAUCGGUACAUCACAAAGGAACUGUAAAAACAGGGAAAGCCCGCAUUUCUUCAUUGCGCUCCAAGCAGUUAGCAGAGAGUGGACUAGCUGUUUGGUUGUUCCUAACAUAGCUUUUUCACUUCCUGAAAAUUCAAUUAUACAGAUUAGUUAGCUGAAAACUGCAUUGACAUCUCAUAUUACAAGUAAAAGCAGUAAAGAUCAAGAAAGCAACAUGUGAAGAGCUAGUCCAGACACAGUCUACAUUUAAAGUGUACUAAACACAAGCUGCUGGCCUGGCCUUGUUUGAGCAUUGAAGAUGAGCUGCAUUUCCCUANNNNNNNNNNNNNNNNNNNNNNNUCUUUAGUUGAUGUUGUAAGCAGUGAAGAUGAACAAAUACAAGGUAGUUGGAUAACCUCAAGCUAGACUGCAUGAAAGUGGUGUAUAAAUGGUAUACUUAGUAUGACAAAUCCCAUAAGAAAAUAAAAAUGAACAAAGAGAUCCUAAGAGAUGCUCAUCCUGAUUCCAGUGCAACAUACUGACCCACCCAAAAAUGGGUAAUUUGAUUCAGAUCUGGAACACUUCACAGAAAGCAUGACCCUCCCACUACUAAAAAUAGACCAAAAAAUGACAGCCAAAAGCGAUGGACAACGUCGUUUUUUUUUUUGGACAACAUUGCUUUUUUGCAAAUGAUGGCCUGCGUCGCUUUUUUUUACGACAGACGGCGUCGUUUUUUGAAUUUUUUUUUUUUUUUAAAAAGCAACGUUUUGUCUCGUUUUUUUAUUCUUCAUGUAUAGAAUAAAUGAUGAACAAAAAACGACGGACAUCGUCAUUUUAUUGAAGAAAAAAAUAUUUUUUUUUAGAAAAAGCGACAAAGUCCGUCGCUUUUCUGUAUAUUUUUGAAUGCAGAAAUCUGCAUUUUCUGCAUCCCACUUGCCAAAUAAAAAUGCAAUUCAAUAUGUUCAGCCCCUUGCAACACAUUACUAAAAUAAUCAUACAACACACUACAUCAUCAAAACAUUUAAGCAAUUCAAAUCAACAACACUUCAAACAAUCAAUUCAACAACAUCCAAAACACUUAACAAUUAAUCCACCAACAUCUAAAACACUUAAGCGAUCCUGAAGGUUUUCCAAUAGUUAAAAGUUAAGUUCAAGAAUGUCUUAAAAGUGUCUAGAAGCCAAAUCCAACAACACUAAGGAGUAGACCCAACAAACUCCUCAUCACUUUCUGUUUCUUCUUCGCUACUUGAAUCGGGCGAUGGAGAACGGCGACGGCAACGGCGAGGCAUGCUAAGCAUUUGUUUCUUAAGUUCCUCGACGGUCUUGCGCGUGACUUCAUUUUGAGCAAUGGACUGUGCCACGGCACGUGUAAGCUGUGCAAUCUGCUGCGACAUAGCAGCAAUUGAACACUGUCAAUCGCCUCAGCCUGGCGUGAGGAACCAAUACCAGCCUAUCCAUCCUCGAGGUGUCACAAUUCAUUUCGAGAACCCAAGCCAUAGGUUCUCCCCUUUCAUCUUCCUCCUGUCACUUUUUCGGUCCGAAUUUGAAUAGCUUCCUCCUGCGCAGGCUCGGUUGAACCAAACUCAGACACGUAGUGUAUAUAUUCAUUCUGCAUAUUAAAAAAGACACGUUAGUAAAUUUUACUAUUACUAAGUAAGGUGGAGCAUAACGUAAAUUUUAAUAUGUUUUGCUUACAUAUUGAAUACAAAAAUAAGAAAGAAAUCAACUUUUUUUCCUAAACAUUAUUUUAAAGCUAACUUUUGCUUUCCAUCAAAUCUAACUCGGUAAGAAUUUCCACACACAACCCUUUGACUUUUUAAAAUUUGUUCCUCGUAUUGUUUCCACUAAUUGUACAAUUAAAGUUAGCAUGGCUACGUCUCAUUUCAUCCUAUUUCCUCAAUGUAGUGCCACAAAAAGGAUCCAAAUCAACAAACAAUAAGUAAAUCCAUGUUAGUCAAAUUCUUGAAACAAUUUUCCUACAAGGAUUAGCAAAAAUCGUUCGAUAACACUUCUUCCUAUUUCUUUCUCAAUGAUAUCCGACGAUCAAUUUUCCUUGCUAGUACAUACUCGGUAAAUUGACCUCGGUCAGAUUUCAGAAAAUUAUGCUAAUACGUUGAUAUCAAACAAAAUAGACCUUCCAAGAAAUGCAUUAAACAAGGCUACUAGUAAUUUGUACUUGGUGAUACAUCACCAUAGCAUUGAAGAGUUCUUAGAAAGGUCAAGUUACAGAUACGAUUUGCUACGGUAUUUAGCAACAAGAUAGAGAAUUACUUAUAGUAGGGAGACAACUUGUUUAAAAUAACAAAGAAGAGGAGAAUUGAGCUUUAGUAAUUAGAAGAAAGCAUCAUAUUAAACAACACUUUAAAUCCCAAUAUAUUUAUCUAGAUUCCCUUGUUCAUUGGCAUUUCCAAUCUACACUCGGGAUCGUAACCCCAUUGCGAUUACAGAUUGGAUGUCUAAUUGUUAGUAUCUUGUACCUGAACUGAUGGCUCACUUUUUCUAAGUAAUGGGGAAGAGGACCGAAACGUGCCACUGAAAGAAUCUAGUUAGACAAAGAUGGGCUGUCAAGAAUGUAGAGGAGGUAGGAUGGGCAGUUGGUCAGAUCUAGUAUGGAUAUACAUGGACGGUAGUUGGAGUCGGCAGCUCUCCCAGUCUUCCCUCACUGAGAUCUCUGGGGAAGCCUUCCAACCCACUUUUCUUCAUGACAACUUUAUUACCAAACUGAAAGAAGAUUUAAAUUGACCAAAUAUGCAACAGAACGAGAAGAUAGUCCUGGAGAAAAUUAUCAGUAAGCUAUAAGCAGCAGCAAAAAGGACCAAACUAGAUAGUAUCUCCAACUUUAACUCUUAUUCAGUAAUUCCACUAUUUCGUACUUUUCCCUAUUAAACACUAACAAGGGUUAGGCACAUUAUGCAACCAUGACUUCUGUGUCCCUGGUCCUCUUUAUGAUUACUCUAUCUAGAGGCAAAAUCGACUCCCUUAUAAAGCUUCAAGAAGAACAAUAAAGCUAGUCCAGAAGAAAGACAAAGAUUACGUAGAUCGUAAUACCUGAAGAAAAAAAAGCUAGUAACUAGGAGCAACGAGAAAACCAAAACAAGUCCAGAAGAAAAUAAACAGUUAGCUACCUAUUAGCUGCAAUGAGAAAAGCGAAAAUCAGAUACUAGGAAGACCGUAAUAUUGAUUCCAAAAGUAUCAAGUUUCCUCUUUAUGCCUCAUUAGUUUUCACCAGUAAAAGAUUUAUUAAAGAAGCCCCUAGAUCAAACAAUAACCCUGGGAAGGACCUCGGCUUUAUCGGCGCAUUCACAUGCCACACGUUCUAAGUUCCUGAUGCUCUUUAUUUUUUACUCUGACUAGAGGCAUAACAUUCUCUAAAACACUGCUGAACAAGAGAAAAGAUGUCCAACAUCAUUUAGUGCAAAGUCGAAGACAAAUUUAUUGUUCCUUGAAGAUAGUGUAUAAAGGAAAAAAUGACUAACAAGAUCUCGAAGCAAUACGGUUUAAAGAUGUCUUUUACAUAUGCAUUGUCUUGUUCUGUAUGCGAAAUAACAAUAAGAACUUAACAGCAAUUGAGGAAAAAAAAAAGUAUACUUACAAGUUCUUUGUCACUUGGUUUUCUUGAUUGGAGCUUUUUCAGCCUUCUGUGUUUUGUUGCAUCUGCAGCCUCUUCUUUAGAAAAAGGACAAACUAAACUUUCAACGUAGAUUGCUAUCUUAGGAAACUCAUCAAAAUCAAUAACCUCUGAAUAUCUCAAUGAAGAAUCCUUCAGCUUGUAUAUCAUGGAAUAUUUAACAAACCUGAAAUUUUUUUUACCUUUGUUUGACAUGAAACAAGGCAGAUAAAAAUCACAACGCGGUGUAUCAAAAGGACAAUUGACGGUAAACAUCUUUGUCCAAGAUUGUUUAAUCCCAUAAUCCUUCAUAACCCAAAAAUCUACAUGAGAGGCCGCAUUAUAACAAAAAAUGGAAAGAUCACUUCCCAACACUCCCAAAUACAAUUGAAUAUAUCCCUCUUUGUAGAAAGGAUGCUCCACUUCUCUCCAUUUCUCGUUAGCCAAAUCAAACGAAAUGAUGUUCCAUUCCUUAUAGUCACUUCAGGAACCAUUCACCUUAGCAUUAGGCCAAUUAAGUUUCCCCUUCACUAAGAUACCUGAAAUAUAUACUUCCUCUCGACUUUUACACUUCCUCCAUUGACAAUCGUCAACAUUUCCCCAAGAAUCACUCUUUAGACUAUAUAUUUUGAGCUCACCUCGACCGAACUCACCUUUUAUACAAAAGGUACCCAAUAACUAAUAAUCAUCAUGAAACUCAUUGUAUCCAAAACCAUACAUUCGCGCUGUUUCAAACCACAAUGUAGCACUAGGACAAGGCAAUUUCUUGUACUUUCUAUUCGAUGGGUUCCAUAGAAACAAAUUAUCUUUAGAAUCCGCAAGACAAAUCAAUCCAUUGACAGAACUUAGAAUUGUUAUAGAACUAGGCAAUUCGUUGUACAAUCCAUCAGAUAUCAUACGAUGACCCAAGUGUGAUACCUCCGUAACAGAAUCAUUACAUAAAGAAUCAAGAUUACAAUCUUUAAUAUUCACCCCCUGUAUAGAAAUCCGUACCACCCAACGUUCGGUAGAAUUACUAAGAUGGGUCUUGAUAAAUUCAGGGCUCCAGAUUAAAGCAAGCCAGGAUUUUGAAACACACCUGAAUUGCAAGAGGGAAACAACGCAACAUACGCUUAUAAUGUAAAUACUCAUUAGUAUUAGCAGAUACAAUAAAAUGGGUAUUAUUAUAUUCGUGGCUAGAGAUUAAAGCAAGCCAAGAUUUUGAAACACAAACUCAACAUAAGCUUAAUGAUGUAGAUAUUGAAUCAUUACUAUUCCAUCCGUCCGGCAAUAUUUGUCCACUAUAUACUAAAAAUAAGUGUCAAACAAUACUUUUCCGGUUUAAAAAUCAAUGAAGAAUUUACCCUUUUCUACCCACUUUACCCUCGCUAUUAAAUACUAUUCAUCACUCAAUACAUUUUUCAAAAUAUUAAGUUUAUUACUCCUUCCGUCUAUUUUUACUUGUCCAGUUUUCUUAUUAUUUUGGGAUGUGCAACAAUACUUGUCCAAUUUAUAAAACCAAUGGUAUUAAAUACAAUACAUCUCUCAUUUCAUUUUUGAAAGCAAAAAAAUUAUUAUAUUCAAAAGGUGACAUAGUAAAAUCACCCCUCCAUUUAUCGUUUUAAGGUAUGUGCCAAGUAAAAAGUGGAUAAGUAUUUACGGACGGAGGGAGUGUAUUCAAAUUUUAUCCUUGCUAUUAGAUACUACUCAUCACUCAAUACAUAUUCCAAAAUAUUAAAUUUAUUAUAUUCAAACAGUAAUAUAGUAAAAUUACCCUUAUUAUUUAUUAUUUCUUAACGUGUGUGCCAAUACAAGUAUUGUUGGAAAGAGGGAGUAAUAUAUUCGGGGCUAGAUAUUAAAGCAAGCCAAGAUUUCUAAGCAUACCUGAAUUUCAAGAGGGAUGAGUUCAGCCGGCAGAAGAGGGAUUGUAAAGUUCAAAUCUUGCAUUGAAUUUGAUGGAAAUCCAGCAGAUUUUGUGCGCUUCUUCCAUUUUUUGGUGUUGAUGGUAGGCUUUAUCUUCCUCUUUUUCCAUUUGGGCGCCACAAAUUUGAGUGAAAUUCCCAAGUUUAUAGUAGUCAGCUGUGGACCGAAUUCGACAUGGGUCGGAUCAGGUCUGGUCGGGUUAUAUUAGGAAUAGUGGGUUCUCUCUUCAAAAUUGGAUAUUUUUAGGCAAUUUGGGGGUUUUCGUUUAUCUAGGGUAUGGGUAACACAUUUAUUAACCGUGAGUCAGAUAGACGAUUUUUCAAAAUUAAUCGUAUUUUUUAAAACAACUUCUUCUAUUUUAUUUUAUUUAAUACUUGGCGCAUCACUCUUUAUGUAUCGUCUUUUAGAUGGAAUUUGAUUUCUAUUCCAGUUUUAGAUAGAUUUGGUUAAGGUUUUUAAUUUUCUUAAUGAAAAAAUUAAUUUGUUUUUGAACUCCCGAGUUGUUGGUCAUGGAAUCCUAUCUGAUGGUUUGUUAAAAUUUUCUUGACUUCUAAUUUUGAAUACAACUCUUUUAAUUUUGAAAUUGUGGGGUCUAAACGAUCAAUUUUAAAUGAAAAAUUGGGCAUGUUGUGGCAUAGGUGUUUAGGUCACAUCUCUAAAUACAGAGUUGAUAGAUUGGUUAAGUCUAAUAUUUUACCUUCUCUUGAUUUUGGGGACAUAGGAACAUGUAUUGAUUGCAUUAGAAGAAAGUUGACUAAACAAGAAAAAAGAAUGCUAUUUGUAGUUUUAGUUGUUGAAAAUCAUUCACACAAACAUAAGUGGUCCGUAUUCUACUUCAAUAUGUGGUUCAAGUUAUUUUAUCACCUUUAUUGAUGACUUUUCUCGGUAUGAUUAUGUUUUUCUUAUUAAAAAAAAUUAUAUUCUCUUGAAAUGUUCAAAGUGUUUAAAACUGAAGUAGAGAAAUAACUGGGAAAGGUCAUUAAAAGAAUAUGAUUUUUAUGAAGUAGAGAAACAACUGGGAAAGGAUCUCACUAUCUUAAUGAUCUUUCCCAACACUAAAACUUAAACCCUAAACUCUGAUAGUGAGGUCCUUUCCCAGUAGUUUGAUAUCAUUGAGAUCCAAACCAUUAGAUCUUUAUAGAUGUACAAAACUUUUCCUCCUAGUGGUAUUAGAGCCUAGGGUUCAAAGAUCCAAUGGUUUGGUAAAGCGAGGUUGAAGACAAGUCCAAGACAGUUCUAAUCAAUUUGCAAUCAAUUGGAUGAUAACGAAGAUUUUAUUACACUAUAUGUGGAGAAGAUAUUUCAAUCAUAUUUUCAACAAUCCUGCUGUCACAUCUUUGAAAACAAAGCUAACCCUAUUUAGAGCUCCAAUAUUUUUAACCCAAAAGGGAUAAUAUAUUUUUAACCGAAAAAGGCUCAAUUUUUAAGCAUGACAAAAGCAGAGAUAAAUGAAGAUUAUGUGAAGAACCAAAAUUAUGCAUAUGACAUGAAGAAGGCAGAUCAAGUCAAGAAAAUCAAGCCCAAAAAGGAGAGAUUUAUUAGGAUUUUUGCCCCGAUUUUCUUACCAAAUUUAAGUUUUAUUUUUUCUUAUAAGGAAAAUAAAAGUAACCAUAAAUACUUUUACUUUUCCUUAAAGGAAAAUAUAAUUUUUUUUCCAUAUUUGACAAACCUCUUUCUUGAAGGAAAGGUUUUGUAUAUCUAUAAAUAGAAGACUCCUCUUGUCAUACAAUAACACAAUAGCAUCCACAAUAUAGUCCUUUAAAGAGUCAUUGUUUAGGGGGAGAUUUCUCCGAAUAGGUUUAAUGUUUUUUAUAUUCGGUUUUAUAAUAUGUAGGCCGAUUGGCCAAAAUAUAUAAUAAUUUAAUGCUUUUUAGUAUUGUUUUCUUUGUCGUCUACUUUAUCGUCUCAAGGUUUGCAGCUAAUAGCUUCCGCAUGACACCCUCUUGAUUUCGAACCCAACAGUAUGAUGAGUAAGCUAUUAAAAUCGUACUUUAAAAAAACUAUAAUUUAAAAGAUAUGAUGAGAAGUAUGAUGAGUAAGCUAUUAAAACCGUACUAUAAAAGAUAUGAUGAGAAGUAUGAUGAGUAUGAUGAGAAGUAUGAAGAGUAAGCUAUUAAAAUCGUAAUUUAAAAGAUAUGAUGAGAAGUUGUAAUUUAAAAGAUAUGAUGAGAAGUAUGAUGAGUAGAUCUAACUUACCUGAAAUCCUCUAGGGUGAAGCUGUUAAAACCUCCAUGUAUAUUCUUAAUCGUGUCCCUUCCAAAUCAUUCCCUAAAAUCCCUUUUGAGUUGUAGAACCAAUAAAAAAUUCAGUUUAAAUCAUUUUCAAGUUUGGAGACCUUCUGCGAAGGUAAAGAUAUAUAACCCUUCAGAAAAGAAAACCGAACCUAGAACCUCGCGUUGUUUUUUCAUUGGUUAUCCAACUGAGAAGGUAAAGAUAUAUAACCCUUCAGAAAAGAAAACUAAACCUAGAACCUCGCGUUGUUUUUUCAUUGGUUACCCAACUCAUUCUAAAAGAUACAGGUUCUACUGUCUUACAAAGGGAACAGGAAUAGUUGAAUCUCAAAAUACAAAAUUUCUUGAAUUUGAUAUUGCAGAUAAGGAUUGUUCUUAGCAUAUCGCUCCUGACUUAAUUGUUUCCCUUUCAAGUCAGUCCUUAAAACCCCUUUUGAGUUGUGGACCAAUAGAAAAUUCAGUUUAAAUCAUUUUCUAGUUUGGAGAUGUUCUGCGAAGGUAAAGAUAUAUAACCCUUCAGAAAAGAAAACUAAACCUAGAACCUCGCAUUAUUUAUUCAUUGGUUAUCCAGGUCAUUCUAAAGGAUACAGGUUCUAUUGUCCUACAAGGGGAACAGGAAUAAUUGAAUCUCAAAAUGCAAAAUUUCUUGAAUUUGAUGUUGUAGCUAAGGAUUGUUCUCAGCAUAUUGCUCCUGAGCCAACUGAAAGUAUUGAAGCUGUCAGAAUUCCUCUCAGUAUUACCUCAGAAUCAUUUGUGUCUGCACCUAUACAUGAUGAACCUCAUAUACAUGUGCAAACUGAUGACUUUGUACCUGCAGAAAUUAGGUGCCUAUUAUUGAAGAAGUGGUCAAGGCACCUGCUAUUGUUGAUCAAGAGGUUCAGAAUUUAAGGAGAUCAAGUAGACCGAGACGAUCGCUGCUAUCGGAUGAUUAUUUAGUAUACCUAAAUGAAGGCGACAUUGUUGAUCCUGUAAGCUUUUUGGAAGCUUCAUCAUGUGCUCAAUCAAAGAUGUGGCUUGAUGCCAUGUCUGAAGAGAUAAAAUCCAUGAGUAAAAAUGAUGUAAGCUUUCAGAGCUUCCUAAAGGUCAGAAGUUUGUUGGAUGUAAAUGGAUUUUUAUGACCAAAAAGGAUUCAAAUGGAAAUGUUGAACGAUUCAAGGCGAGAUUAGUUGCUAAAGGAUUUACACAGCGAGAAGGGGUUGAUUACAAUGAAACUUUUUCACCAGUAUCAUCUAAGGAUUCUUUUAGGAUCAUUAUGGCAUUAGUAACUCAUUUUUAUCUUGAUCUACAUCAAAUGGAUGUAAAGACAGCCUUUUUCAAUGGUGAUCUUAAUGAAGAGGUUUACAUGUAACAACACCAAGGUUUUGUUAGAAAAGGCAGCGAGCAUCUUGUGUGUAAAUUGAAGAAAUAUAUUUAUGGCUUGAAGUAAGCUUCUCGAUAGUAGUACUUGAAGUUUGAGGAGAUUAUGACUUCUAUGGGGUUUGUGGAGAACAACAUUGAUCAUUGCAUCUAUCUCAAGAUCAGUGAGAGUAAGUUCAUCAUUCUCACUCUUUAUGUUGAUGAUAUUUUACUUGCUAGUAAUAAUUCGGGACUGUUGCACGAAAUUAAACAUUCAUUAAAUAAAAUGUUUGAUAUGAAAGAUCUAGGAGAGGCAUCAUUUGUUCUGGGCAUUGAGAUUCGACGAGAUAGAUCUCGUAAGUUAUUGGAGUUUUCACAAAAGGCCUAUAUUGAUUGUAUUUUAAAAAGAUCUCAAAUGAAAAAUUGUAAGCCUGGUAAUGUCCCUAUGGUGAAAGGUGAUAAUUUAAGCCUAGACUUGUGUCCCAAAAAUGAUCUUGAGAAAGAUUUUAUAAAAGAUGUGCCUUAUCCAAGUGUUGUUAGAAGUCUUAUGUAUGCAUAAGUUUGCACUCGUCCUGACAUUGCUUUCAUUGUCAAUGCUCUUGGACGUUAUCAAACUAAUCCAGGAAGAAGUCAUUGGGUAGCUACUAAGAAAGUAAUGAGGUACUUGAAGAAGACAAGAGAUUAUAUAUUAGUGUACAAAAACGUUAACGACCUUGAGGUAAUUGGUUACACAGACUUAGAGUUUGUUAGGUGUCCUGAUGAUUUGAGGUCCACAUCUGGCUUUAUCUUUAUGUUUGCAGGGGGUGCGAUAUCUUGGAAGAGUGUGAAGUGAACUCUUAUAGCAUCUUCCACUAUGGAAGCAGCAUUCGUAGCUUGUUAUGGUGCAGCUACACAAGCCAUUUGGCUUAAGAAUUUUAUUUUAGGGCUUGUGGUAGUUGAUUCCAUCUCUAGGCCCUUGGAGAUUUAUUGUGACAAUAAGGCAGCUGUGUUUUACUCAAAAAAUAAUAAAUCUUCUUCAGUUUCUAAGCAUAUGGAAAUAAAAUAUCUGGCUGUGAGAGAUAUGGUUAAAAGGGAGGACAUUGUGAUUGAACAUAUACCUACUGAUUUGAUGUUUGCUGAUCCACGAAUCAAGGUGCUAAUACCCAUAGCUUUUACACAACAUAUUCAUAAUAUGGGUGUUGUUGUGUCAUUUGAUUUGUUGGGUUAGUGGGAGUAUUUAAUAUUGUUAUUCAUUUGUCAUUAGACUAUUCACCUUAUUGUUUCAUAUUUAUGGUGAUAUUAUCUCUUAAAUUUACAUUUAUGCUAUGGUAGAUUUUGCUAUCAUUUAUGCUGUUGAUUAUUAUUGUGUACACUUUAAUAUUGUUUUAUUAUAUUAAGGAUUUUUGCCUUACGUGUUAGCUAUGUUUCAUAUUGAUAAGAUCAUAUUGUUAUUUUAUUGGAUUUUUCUUUUGUAGACAUAUACGAUAUAUCAUUUUACCUUGUGAAUUUUUUGGUUGUUGCACCAUGUAAUAUGUUGCACAUGUUGAACCUUGAAAAUCAAGAUUUUAUGCUAGAGCACAUGUUGUUUUAGUGCUCACACAUGUUGUAACAAAAUCGCGGUGACGAUUUUUCUAUGGUACGCAUGUUGAUUUUAAACAUACAUGUUGAUAUGAAAAAUUGUUGAAGGACUAACAAUGAAAUAGCCUCGAUUUGGAGUCCAUGUUGGCUAUUUCUUGCUACACUACCACAUUAUUUGAUUUAUGUCUACAAAACUUUAGUGUUAGUAAUUGUGGACUGGUCUUGUAUCGCUGGUUGAUGCAAGUACUGUUGCAGUUCAACAGUGAUGUUUUCCUUGAUUGAACUAUGUUGGAGAUGGCGUUUCACCUCUAAAUACUUAUGGCCACUGUCUACUCAGUCCAAGAGUCAUUUUCAUAAAAAUAUUUUUUUCAAAAUUUUUCUAAAAGUUAACAUUGUCCAAGUGAGAGAAUGUUAGAAUUAUUUAUUUUAUGUGGACUUAACAUUAACUUUUUAUUACAUUAAAGUAAAACGAGCUGAUGUUAUUAAUUGGUGGACAAGACACAGGUCGUGUAUUCAUGUAGAUUCCAUAUUUGCAUGUAUCCAUUUCAUGUUAUUGGUAUGGGCUGACAAUAAUGUAGGCAUGUAGUAGACCUGUGAGCCCAUAAUGAGGGUGCACUCAGUUAAGGAUUUUAAGCCUAUAAAUAAAAGGCUAGGUCCCCUCUCUUGGUUUUAACAUAAGACGUAUUCCCAUAACCUAAGGUGCUACCCGUCAUAAACAAAGGAGAGGAAGACUCCGCCUAGUUCGUCUUCCAUUACGUGUAAGCAAUGACGAACAAAGGUACACACCUUUCCUCUCUCAUAUUCCCUUACUUUGUGUUCUUGAUUUAUGUGAAUCUGUGGUGUGUUUCUCUAUUAAUUUCAACAUAAAAUGCUUCUACAUAUUUUUUUUUUAAGUGGCUAAAUUCCCUCUUUGUUAUUACUUGGAUCAUGUGUUAUCGAUUCAUUGAUUAUUUUUACUAAAGUUCAUUAUUUAAAUAUUAUUUUGGCACAAAUGACAAAUGCCAUCAUUUUAUUCGAUGUUUUACACAUCAUUCGCGAGUGUGACUCACACAUGUGAUAUAUUUUUAUUGAUUAUGCAAAAAGUGCCAAAAUUACGUAGUAAAACAACAGUUAAGAUGUUUAAAAUGUACAUGUAUAGUUGAAGUGCACAAAUAAAAAUUGAUGAUCACUUUUAAGGAGGUGGUGAUGUGUUUGGCCAAAAUAGGAACUUUCUAUCUCUCUUAAGUUAUAUAUUUCCAUUGUCACUUCAAUGGAGUCCAAUAUUUCUAGACUCAAAUGAAAUAUUGAUUCUAUUUUGUUGACAAUGUUCCGAAAACAUUCAGAAUAUUAUAUGCACUCGGUGUUUAUAUCAAAAUAAAUAAUUUAACUUCAGAAAUUAAAAAAUGAAAUGACAAUACAUAUUUUUCAGUAAGAAAUUUUUUGAUUGCAAUCACAAGAAAACAAAUGAAAACAACAAAAGCUUAGUUUAUGAGCAACAAUGCAUGUCAAUUUGUCUUUAUUUUUUUUAGAACUUAUUUCUCAUCACAACUUAUCUCUGCCUCCUUGUGAGGGGCAAGGCCUGUUGUUUAAAUUGUCUUGUUCUUAGCUAUUUCUCUAAGGCAUCUGAUACUGACAAUUUUUGUCUUGGUUUGAGACAACAUAAAAAAUAUCUAUGCACUUUGUCAUUUUCUUUAUUUUGAUGUUUCACUUACCUCAUAGAUCUAGAGGAGAUGUUCAAAAACAAGAACAAUGAGCUAAGUGGUCUCAGGGGCUGACCUAUGUGUAAUUUUGUAGUGUCCCAGCAUCCGUUGAACAUGACGUAAACAACAUAUAAUUAUAUAAGAAUUGUAAUAAAGAUUGAUAUAAGAUUUUAAAAAUGAUGGUUGAGUACUUGGUUCCAAGGUGGAAACUUAAAACCUUGGGCGUCAAUAUGUGUGUUUGAACCACCCGGACACCCACGACCCCUAGAUCCUGAAUCCACCAUUGAUGUGGUCUCAUGGUACCUAACUCAUCAAUGUAUGAAAAUCUAUGGGCUUUACAUUUUCUUUAACUAAUCAGUAUAUAAGGACCUAAAAAUCGUUGAGCCAUAUAAGCAUCUCACAUUACAUUCUUCUGCACUUUUUCUACCCCUUUCAUAACAGUACCAAGCCAAAAGGUACCUACAAAGAUGGAAGUUAAGAACAAGUAUGUAGCAAUAAAAGCCAACAUAAAUGGUGCACCAGAAGUGUCAAACUUCGAGAUAAAAGUCGAAAACCUCUCACGUAUAGUUGAGCCAGAGUCGAAGGAGGUUGUCAUCAAGAACCUGUUAGUAUCGAUUGAUCCUUAUCAGAUAAACCGGAUGAAGAGCCAAAGUUCAUCACAAACAUCGAUAAGUUAUGCAACUGCCAUUACUCCUGGCGAGGUCAUUGACACUUAUGGUGUAGGAAGAGUGUUGGUUUCUCAUCGGCCCGACUUCAAGAAAGGUGACUUGGUAGUUGGGCUACUUACCUGGGGAGAGUACACUGUUGUAAAGGAAGGUUCCCUGUUGAAUAAGCUGGAUCCUAGUCUGGCAUUUCCUUUGUCUUACCAUGUCGGAGUUUUUGGAUUCAGUGGACUUGCUGCCUAUGGUGGAUUCUUCGAAGUGUGUAAGCCGAAGCCAGGGGAGAAAGUUUUCGUGUCUGCUGCUUCUGGUUCAAUAGGACGUUUAGUAGGACAGUAUGCUAAAUUACUUGGAUGUUAUGUUGUUGGCUCUGCUGGUAGCCAAGAAAAGGUAAAUUUUCUUAAGGAGAAACUUGGAUUCAACCAUGCAUUCAAUUAAACAAGAAACUGACCUCAAAUCGGCUCUCAAAAGGUGUUUCACUCAAGGGAUCGAUGUCUACUUUGACAAUGUGGGAGGCAAGAUGUUAGAAGCAGCAGUGGCAAACAUGAAUUCACUCGGCAGAGUAGCCCUCUGUGGGGUUAUUUCUGAGCACGCGAAUGCUAGCACACAAGCUGGCCAGAUGUGAAGGAUAUAGUCUACAAGAGGAUUAGAAUCCAAGGAUUCCUAGCAGCUGAUUUCAUGCCAGUGUAUGCAGAUUUCCUGUCGAAAACAGUUGAGUACCUCCAAGAUGGAAAACUUAAGACCAUCGAAGAUAUCUCACAAGGCGUUGAAAGCAUCCCCUCUGCUUUUAUUGGACUGUUCAAUGGUGAUAAUAUAGGCAAAAAGAUUGUCAAAGUUGCAGAUGAGUGAAAAAAAGAGCAAGAAGAUUCAAGACUGUUGACCUAUUUGUUCAUGAAUUCACAAAAAAUAUCUUAUCUGUACUUCUUUCAAGUUGUAAUCCAUUUAAAUGUUCAUCUUCUGCAUCAAGUUAAAGUAAUGUUUAUGCAUUAUGCCUAUCAGAUUCUUGUGUAGUUUUCCUUUUCAUGUAUCCUAGAUUGAAACAAACUCUGUGACCCUAAGCUGUCUCAAUUCCAAAUUUAGUUGACUACAUGAAUCUUUUAUAUCAACUCAACACAGUGGAAAAAUACAUCUUUAGCAACUACUUCAAGACCACCACAAGAUAAAGCAAUAUCAAGGUCCCCAUCAACAUAGAGACCAGCUAUCAUGCCAAAUGAAUCCCGGCACUGAAAUAGCAGCAAAGUAAAGUGACAAUGGGUGUACAUAAGUUAGUUUCAAUAGAAUAACACGAUAGAAAACACUAAUGUACAAAUAUCACAGUAGAAACAAAGUUUGAGAGCAAUGGAUCACGAAGGGGAUAAACGUAUUUCCAAGUGUUACAGUAACAGCAUUAAUAUUGAACCUGCAGUCUUCCUUCCAUUCAAACAGACUGUCAACAGCCUCUGCCAAUGCAGAAUGAACAACUAGAUUCUUGUGUUUUCAAGAAAUUAUGGUCCUACAAUUGCAGCCACAGGAAGACACACAUACUAGUGAAUGCUUCAGCGUAAAGCUAUUCAUCAUUGAGGGGAAACGGUUAAAAGACACCAGAAAGAUGCAUAACCGCAGUUCCCCUGGAGAGCAAAGAACGUGCAAAAACUUGCACUCAUGACUUAUCAACUAGCAGCACUUUUCUUUCUGAAGAACUAGUUGCAAUAUCAAGGAAAAAGAAUUCCAUGAUGUGGAACCAUUAUCAUCAUAAGUAUCAUAUAACAGAUCAAUCUACAUAUAACCAUUUAUUUAAGGGAAGGAGAAGCUUGUUCAACAUUUUGUUAUGAUGAAUUUGACUUUAAGCUACCAACAAUGUGAGAUGAAAUUUAGAAGUAGGCGAGUCUCGCUCUAUACAUGCUGUUGGAGUUGUAAGGUUAACUUCAACUCUUUGAAGUAAAAAUAAAGAAAGAAAGAAGAGAACAAAUAAUUUACUGCACAAAGGUUUAUUUUUCAUUAAUCUAUAGUGGUGCUUAUAUACUAAAAAAAAUGCAAUAACUAAAGCCUAUAAUUAAUCCACUACUUUGUACCUGAUUCCAUGAUCAGCAAUAUUCAAAAAAACUACACCACUAACAUCUAAAAAUCAGCCACUAAACUAAGUUGUUGAGAACAUGGCUAAAAAAAGUUGGAUGAUGUCCAACAAUUGCUCCUACUUUUACUGCAAUAACUAAGGCAAUAAUCAACACUCCUCCAUGCUUCAAUUUCUGCAAAUUCCAAGCCUUUCUCCGAGAAAUUCAAAUCUGCUCUUUGGCAAGGCUUUGGUAAACAUAUCUGCUAGUUGAAGAUCCGUCUUGCAGUACUUUAACCCAAUCGAUCCUUCUUUUUGCAUGUUUCUAAGAAAGAAUAAUUUGAUAUUGAAAUUCUUAGUUUUUGCAUGAAAAAUAGGAUUAUUUGAGAUAGCAAUAGCUGCUUGAUUAUCCACAAACACCUUUGUGCACUUCUCUUGCAUUAAAUUAGAUCAAGUAGCACUUUUCUAAACCAUAAGGCUUGAUUUGCAGCAGCUGACCAAUUUCUUGCUUUUUAGACCACUAAGAAAAUACACCUGAACCAAGACUAAAACAAUAACCAGAAGUGCUCUUCAUGUCUUUAGAAGUUGCUCGGACUCUUCAAUUAUGUCUAUGGGUGCGUGUCGGAUCCUCCAAAAAUAGUAUAUUUUUGAAGGAUUCGACACGGGUGCAGCAACAUUUUUGGAGAGUCCGAGCAACUUAGAUCAGAAUACCCCUGCAACACGUGCUUCUGAUUUGCAUUGAACUUGAUUCCAAAAUUCAGUGUUCCCUUAACAUAUCUUAUCACCCUUUUUUCUGCUCUAAAAUGAGUGUUAGUUGCACAAUUAGUGAAUCUAGAUAAAAGACUUACAGCAUAUAAAAUGUUGGGACUAGUUGCUGUAAGAUACAUGAGACAUCCAACCAUACUUCUGUAAAGAGUCUCAUCCACUUUUUCAGCUUCAUCAUUUUUGCUCAACUUCUCCUUUUGACACAUCGGAGUAGUUGUGUCUUUGCAAUUUUCCAUUCUGAACUUCUUCAAACUGUCUCUUGCAUACUUCUUUUGACAAAUGAAAACUUCAUUUUGCUCUUAAGCCUUAGAAACAGUGCUAUAACCCACAAAUAUUCCAGCUUCCGCCUUUUUAUCAAGCUUAUCUCUUUUACUCUGUGGCACAUAUGUAAAGCACACACAUCCAAACACUGAGAGAUUUUUUUAAAAAGGUGUAAAACCAUACCAGAUUUCAAAUGGUGUCUUUCAUUCUAAUGCUUUUGUUGGAAGCCUGUUGAGUAGAAAGACUAAGACUGGUGUAUGAGUAGUUUCUGCCCAAUACUCUUUUGGUAAACAUUUCUCAUGCAACAAGCAUCGAGCUAUCUCCAUUAUGGUACGAUUCUUCCUCUCACUAACUCUAUUUUUCUGUGGAGUAUAUGCAGCAGUGAGUUGGUGUUCAAUUCCAGCUUCUUCACAAAACGCAUUGAAUUGAUCAAAUGUAUACUCCUUGUCGUUGUCGGACCUUAUAAUUUUACAGCCACUUUGAGUUACAAUCCACUGCUUGAAUUUCCAAAAAAUAGUGGCAACCUCUGACUUGAACCUAAGAAAAUAAAUCCAACACAUUCUCGUAUAGUCAUCGAUGAAAACAAUGCAAUACUUACUACCUUUGAGUGACGGAGUUCGUUGAGGACCAGCCAAAUCUGUGUGGAUUAAUUUUAGCUUUUCAAUGGCUCUCUAGGUUGCUUUCUUGAAAGGCAGCCUUGCAUGUUUGCCAAAUUGACAAGUUUUGCAAUCUGCUAUUUCGACUUCAAGAUUAGGUAGCCCUCGAACCAGAUCUUUCUUUUGUGAGUUAAUUACAGCAGCAUGAUUGAAAUGUUCGAAUCUUUUGUGCCAAACUUGUGCAUUAAUCUUAGUUGCAGAGUAAGCUUUUUUGCUCAUGAUCUAAAAGAUCCUAUGUAAAGCUCCUUCCCUUCAUCAUUACCUUGAAUAAGUUCCUGCCAUCUUCAUCAUUGAUUUGACACUAAUUUGAUUCAAAGAGAAGUUUGAAACCAUUCUCAAGCAUCUGCCCAACACUUACCAGACUAUGGCUAAUAUUAGGUACAAAAAACACAUCUUUGAUUGGUUUUGUACCUAAGGAGUAUUUCAUUUCCACAGUACCUUUACCUUCAGCAAAAAUAUAGUCUCCAUUACCAACUUGUACUUUGGAAAUUACCGAAGUAUCCAAUUUCUUGAAGAGAUCAUGAUCAAAUGUCAUGUGGUUUAUGCAACCACUGUCAAUAAGCCACUUAUCACUCGAGCAGCUAGUUGCCGAAUAUGUCAUUACAAAGAGCUGCUCUUCAUCUUUCUAAUUAGCUACCUAUGCAGCAUUAGUCUGCUGAGUGUUGUUCUUGCAAACCUUCUGAUGAUGUCCCAUCUGCUGACAUUUCUCACACUGUUGGUCUGACCUUCUCCAGCAUUUGAACGGUGGAUGACCCUUCUUUCCACAAUGCUUUCAAGGAGGAAAAUCAUGUUUCACUUCCCUAUUGAUCCCAGGAGAAUGAGAACUUGAGUUUUCCUUCUUGUUCAACUUCUUCUUUCCUCGAUUUGAUUAAACUUUUGCAGGUAGUAAACCCUCAAUCGAUCUUUCGGACCUCAUAAGUCUUCUCCGUUCUUGUACCUACAAAGCAUUCAAUAGUUCUCCCAAACUAAUCUGUGACAGAUCCUUAGUAUUUUCCAGUGCAGAAAUAGUUGUUUCAAACCUUUCAAGGACUAUUACUGGAACUUCUUGAACCAAUCUAGAAUCAGAAAAUACAGAGCCAAGUAAUCUUACAUUGUUGGCAAUGUUGAGUAAUCUAUCAGAAUACUCUUUGAUUAUCUCCAAAUCCUUCCUCUUUAACAGCUUCCCACAAAUUGUUUUUGUAACGCCUCGAUUUUCUGAACCGAAACGCUACACGGUGCUCAUGACCCGAAGGACCACAAGCUAACCCAUGACUGAUAUCUGUACCUGUAAAUUGCAUAAUAUCUCAUAAAAUAUACGGAAACAUGAACUGUAAGGCCAUAAAGUUCAUUACUGAUACAUAUCUGAAAAAUAUGGUAUAACAAUACCAAAAAGAAACAUAAAUACUGAAGUCUGAACAUCUAAUCUGACAUCUAGUCCGAAAUCCUCUAAUUGAACUGAAUAAGGAGUUGAAGGAACAUGUCUCCAACUAACUCUAUGAACUGAAAAACUAAUCUGAAAUACUGCAAUAAAGUAAUAAUAAUAUUGUCCUCGAAUGAAGAGGAGCACUAACGGCUGAAAUCUGCAAUGCUACUGCUGCUCUGAAACUCGUGCCUCUGUACCUAUGGCAUCAAAUAAAACACCAUAGCGCGAAUGCAUCAGUACGACUGAAUGUACUGAGUAUACGAGCGAGGUAGGCUAAAUGCAAAGGGUUUUAUAUGCAUAAACAAUGCUGACUAAUAUGAACGUGAGAAUAUAUACAUACAUACAUACAUACGUAACUGCAACUAAACUCGUGGUGAUACUGACGACUGAGUCUGAAUACUGGAAAUAUGAGUUUACUGAUGCUGAGAUACUGAAUGACUAAGUUUACUGAUAUUGAGAUACUGAAUGACUGAGUUUACUGAUAUUGAGAUAUUGAAUGACUGAGUUUACUGAUAUUGAUAUGUAAUUCACUAAUAAGUGAGGAACUGAUACUGUAUUACUGAAUACUGGGAGACUGAUACUAUAUUACUAAUAAGGAAUGAUUGUUUCUGAUAAUUCUGAUUAUGAAGAACUAAUUUGAUUGAUCGUAUAUAACAGUCCUGGAACUGAGCUCAUGAUAACAUGACUAUUGAGUAUGAAUACUGAUGACAUGUAUUUACUGAUAACAUAUCAUGAAUGAUAACUGAAUUCUGAUAACUGAUAGUAUGAAUGACUGUAUCUGACAGUCCUAGAUCUAAUGGAACUAGCUGAGUUCCGUAUUGUAUCUGAGUUGACUGUAUCUGACAGUCCUGAUAUCCUGAAGAACUAUCUGAGUUCUUUUACUGAGACUAAUAUUGAAACUGUGGGAAGUAGUUAUCUAAUCGACAUGCCCCAAAUAUGCUAAAAUAUAUAAGCUGGGGUCCAAUCUCUACCCUGAUUGGAAGGGUGUCAAUACCGCGCCACUGGUAAGGACAAGCUGUGAGUGACCCUCAUCUAGCAGGUACUCUAAUGAGAACGGUGGAAACCCUCAUCUGCCAGGUUAAGCCACCUCAUCUACCCUCAACUGAUGGGUAUUGAUGUCUCAACCUAUGCUGGCUACAUAGUUCUAGAACGCAAGGACUGCUUCUAAGAAUCACACUCUCUACUGGUAGGUGAGUUCCUAUCCUUGGGUUCGCUCGGUGCUGAAUCCUACUCCCAACUGAAUGACACUGAACUAAUUAUACUAAAUUGAUUUCCUAGUUCGUACUAGAAUUAACUGAACUGUUACUGAUCUGUUUAACUGAACUGGACAUGGACUGAGUUUAUUAAGUUACGAUGCCUAGCGGAACACUACUGAAUUCUGUUAACUGACUAAAUGCUAUUGAGUUCUGUUAGCUGACUGAAGUCUACUGAACAUGGCUUGACUGAGAGUAUCGUGAAAACAUGACAUGGCUCUAGGCACACAGCUAUAUUUUUCGGGUACGAAUACCUCCAAGACUCGAUGGAAGGAAACUGACAUGACUUGACAUACAAGAGUACUUGACCAACAUUAACAGUCCAUAAUAUAGCAUCUAUGGGAGAUUCAUAAAUCAUGUGGUUUUCAUAACCUUUUCAUAUAGCUAACAUCAUGGUCAAUUCUAAUAUCAUGACAAGCCAACAACAUAUUCAUAGCACAUUAAUAGCAUAGAAAUCAUCUUGAUCAAGUAGACAUGACAUAACUGAAGAGACAUGGCAAAAUCUUNNNNNNNNNNNNNNNNNNNNNNNNNNNNNUCAUUAUUUAUUCGUUGAGGCACAUUAUCAAACACAUGGUAGGCAUAGCUUUAGCAUGGAAGUCAACUUAAGCACAUGGAUAUGGCAUGGAAUCAUCAUUUAUAUCACAAAUAGGUCAAAGUUCUCAAUUCUUCUUCACUUAGGCAUUUACAAACACCUUGCAUGCACUAUUUAGGGCAUAGGCCUAAUGAUCAAUUUUAUACACCAUAACACCAUAAUUCAACUCAAUUUCACCAAUUGAAUCAACAAAAUAUCAUGGUAUCUCGAACAACAUGUAAAGAUUCAAACUUUAUUCACACAACAUGGAAUUCACGUGAAAUCAUAAAAUAUGGAGUAAGGACUUGUUAAUUGAGCACUCUUAAAUCAUGAAAACAUGAUUAUGCCUAUUCUAGGCAUUUCGUCGAACACCUUGCAUGAACACUUUAUGGCAUAGGUGUUCUUAAUAAUUUAGUCAUCUUAAACCACCCAAUNNNNNNNNNNNNNNNNNNNNNNNNNNNNNNNNNNNNNNNNNNNNNNNNNNNNNNNNNNNNNNNNNNNNNNNNNNNNNNNNNNNNNNNNNNNNNNNNNNNNNNNNNNNNAAGAAAUUCUUAGACAUGUUCUUGAUUCCUUGACUAGGGUUCUUGUUCCUUUGAGAGAAAAUAAAUUGGCUCUUGAGUUUGAAAAACUUGAAUAUCAUAUAUUCUUGAAGACGGAUUUGAUUCUUGUUAUAGGUUAUGAUCUUGAGAGAAACCCUUCUUUUGAUGUUGAAGAUAAAUGAGGAGUUAUGUUCUUUAAUUGAUUGGAUUUGAGUCUUCAAAUUGAAACCCUAGCUUGAGUUCUUGAGAGUAUUUUGAGAAGAGGAGUAUAUUUUGUUACAAAUAAGCCUUAAUCCCUUGUUUGGGGUAUAUAUAGGGGUGGAAGAUGACCAAGAUACCCCUAAGGAACAAUUAAGGUUAAAUCUGUCCCUAAUUGACUGUCUGAAAGGCUGAAAAAAAUUGAUCAUAACCUUUUAUUUAGAUGUACAAAUGGGAUGAAACUAAUUUCAUUGGAAAGGAGACUCAAAGAUCUUUCCAUUGAUAUAUAGAAUCUCUCACAGUUCAUUAUAUAUUGGGAGUUAUCAUCGUUUGAAGUUGACUCUGAAAUGCUGAAAAAAUUGGGCAAGCACUGGAGUUAGUAGGCUGCGCGGGCUAAUCGUCCGGGGCUUCUGUUUUGUGCACCCAAACAUGCCUUUACGCUACUCCAAAAAUUAUGAAACUCACCCGGGAUAUAUUACGAUCUUUCCCGAUCGUAACUCAACUUGAAAAUUAAAAAACGGUCGUCGGGAAGGUCGCCAAAUAAAUCCCCAAAGUUUGGAGGUCUAAAAUAAAACUAAGUGUUGAAUCUUGAACACUUAGCAAAAUUUUCUAAGUCUUGGGAUCUUUCAUGGAGCUUUACGAGCUGAAUUUGACACGUGAUUUUGUGGGGUAUUACAAUAUCUCUCCCUUGGGAAUAUUCGUCCUCGAAUGAGACUGACUGAGAGGGGAAAAUGAUAAACUGGAGUACGUACAAGAAAUUCACUACUGAGACAUGGGUUCAUGACUGACAUGAUUGAAAAUUGAGCAUAUUAUAUUGAACAUGCACAUCUGAUGCAUGGGUAACUAGUUUAUGAAUGAAGGACUGAGUGUUCUGAUAAACUGAGUUUCUCAAAUGGGAAUGCAUAUCUGAUGCAUAACUGAUAAGCUGAAUCCAUGUAUAUCUGAUACAUGAAUACAUGACUGAAAGUGUGGAUAAGCUGAUCACACAUAACUGAUGCGUGAAUACAUGACUGAACUGGCUCGUGAACAUGCGACUGAACAUACAAUGGUAAAAGAUACUAAGUUUUGAACUAAAAGCUGGGCAUGGAACUAAAUACCAAGUUUGGUACUGAAAUCUGAACAUGAGAAUGAGUAAGUUCAAGGAAGACUGUUACGUUGAACUGGAAAUAACAGUGAGUCUGAGAUUAAUUACUCAAUAGGCAUGAGCGGGAACAUGAGGACGUAACUGAGCCUGAAACAUGAUACAUAAACGAACUGAGCUUGCAUCUGCUGAAAACUCAUGGUCGACAGGAGCCUUUCUUUAACACCCUUUCUUUAACUCUCUUUCUAUAGAGUUCUAGUGGCUCUAGAUUGCAAGGAAAUCUUGGUGUGGUCUGUCCCUAAUUGACUGUCUGAAAGGCUGAAGUAAAUUGAUCAUAACUUUUUAUUUAGAUGUCCAAAUGGGAUGAAACUAAUUUCAUUGGAAAGAAGACUCAAAGAUCUUUCAAUUGAUAUAUAGAAGCUCUCACAUUUCAUUAUAUAUUGGGAGUUAUGAUCAUUUGAAAUUGACCCUGAAAUGCUGAAAAAACUGGGCAAGCACUGGAGUUAGCAGGCUGCGCGGGCUAGUCGCCCGGGGCUUCUGUUUUGGGCACCCAAACAUGCCUUUACUCUACUCCAAAAAUUCUGAAACUCACCCAGGAUAUACUAAGAUCUUUCCCGAUCGUAACUCAACUUGAAAAUUGAAAAACGAACGUCGGAAAGGUCUCCAAAUAAAUCCCCAAAGUUUGGAGGUCUAAAAUAAGACUAAGUGUUGAAUCUUGAACACUUAGCAAAAUUUUUUAAGUCUUGGGAUCUUUCAUGGAGCUUUACGAGCUGAAUUUGACACGCGAUUUUGUGGGGUGUUACAGUUUGCAUCCAUAUAUGCCUCCAUUCUUGCUGCCUAGACAUGAUAGCCUUCACCUUUAAAGACAGGUGGUGCUAGUGCAGUGAAAGGAGUCUCUGAAUCCAUAGAAGAAAAAACAAGAAGAGAAAGAUAUGUUUCCCUCAAAUGCAGGUCCCUAAAGAAGACAUCUCUUGAUACCAAUUUGUUGGAGUUGUAAGGUUAACUUCAACUCUUUGAAGUGAAAACAAAGAAAGAAAGAAGAGAACAAAUAAUUUACUGCACAAAGGUUGAUUUCUCAUUAAUCUAAAGUGGUGCUUAAAUAGUAAAAAAAAUGCAAUAACUAAAGCCUAUAAUUAAGCCACUACUUUGUACAUGAUUCCAUGAUCAGCAAUAUCCAAAACAACUACAACACUAACAUCUAAAAAUCAGCCACUAAACUAAGUUGAGAACAGGGCUAAAAAAUGUUGGAUAAUAUCCAACAAUUGCUCCUACUUUUACUACAACAACUGAGGCAAUAAUCAACACAUGCACAUCGUCAUAACAUUAGUACAUCACAAAAGAACUGUCAAAACAGGGAAAGCUCACCUUUCUUCAUUGCACUCCAUGUAGUAGGCAGAGGGUGGAAUAGCAGUUUGGUUGUUCCAAACACAGCGUUUUCACUUCCUGAAAGUUCAAUAAUACGGAACAGUUAACAGAAAACCUCAUUGACAUCUCCUAUGACAAGUAAAAGCAGUGUUGAUCUAGAAAGCAUCACAUGAACAGCUAGCUCCGUCAUAGCUAACAUUAUAACAUGUUCUAAACACAAGUUGCUGUCCGUGUUUGAGCAAAAAAAGGAGCUCAUUUCCCUACAUUUGAAUAUGUCGAAGGUUCUUUAAUUCACGCUGUAAGCAGUGAACACGAACAAAUAAAAGGUAGUUAAGUAAUCUGAAGUCCAGACUGCAUGAAAGUUAACAUUUGUCCCCCGUAUUGUUUCCACUAAAUGUACAAUUAGAGAUAUGUUCGCUACGUUUCAUUUCAAUUUUCACCCCUAUUUCCUCAAUUUAGUGCCACACAGGAUGAAAAUCAACAAAUUGAAUCUCAACAAAAAGUAAAUCCAGAUGUGUUAAAUUCUUGAAAUAAAAUCCCUGCAGGUAUUAGCAAAUUUUCCUUGCUAAUCCACACGCGGCUACAUUGACUUCGGCCAGAUUGCACAAAAUCGUGCUGAUACAUUGAUAUCAAACAAAAUCGACAUUCCGUCAAGGCUAUCAGUUUCUUACAAGGUGAUAAUUUAUAUGGACGGGGAAUAUUACUUAAACUCACACAAGUACUUAAUAGAUUUCUUAAAACACACGCACACACAACAGGUUACUGAAUUACGUACACACAUAAGUGGGUUACAAGAUAAUCUGUUUAAAUUGUCUUGUUCUUAGCCAUUUCUAUACGCAUUGAUACUUAACGAUAGUGAUAAUCUUGCUGCUAAUGACAGUUUUUGUCUUGGUUGAGACAGCAUAAAACAUCUCCAUGCACUGUCAUUUUCAUUAUUUUGAUGUUUCACCUACCUCAUAAAUCUAGAGGAAAUAUUCAAAAACAAGAACAAUGAGCUAAGUGGUCUAAGGGGCUGCAAUUUUGUAGUACCCCCGCAUCCAUUAACACGAUGCAAACUAGGUAUAAUUAUACAAGAAAUGUAUAAAAAUUGGUAUAGGAUUUAAAAAGGAAUGCUGGAAACCAAGAUGAUAGUUAAGUGCAUUGUUUCCAGGCGGAACCUUAAAGCCUUGGGGGUCAAUAUGCGUGUUCGAACCUCCCCGACACCCACGAUCCCUAAAUCAUGAAUCCACCACUGAUGUGGUCUCAUGAUACCAAACUCAUCAAUAUAUGAAACAUCUAUGACCUUUACAAUUUCUUUAAUUUGAUGUUGCAGCCUGCCACAUUAAUCUAAUGGACCUUUUCUAAUAAAAAACAGUGAGCCAACUGGUCCAAUAAUGCCUAACUAAUCAGUAUAUAAGGACCUAAAAAUAGUUGAGCCAUAUAUGCAUGUCACAUUACAUUCUUCUGCACUUUUUUCUUCCCCUUUCAUAAUAGUACCAAGCCAAAAGGUACCUACAAAGAUGGAAGUUAAGAACAAGUAUGUAGCAAUAAAAGCCAGCAUAAAUGGUGCACCAAAAGAGUCAGACUUUGAGAUAAAAGUCGAAAACCUCUCACUUAUAGUUGAGCCAGAGUCUAAGGUGGUGGUUGUCAAGAACCUGUUUGUAUCAAUUGAUCCCUAUCAGAUAAACUGGAUGAAGAGCCAAAGUUCAUCACAAACAUCGAUAAGAUAUGCAAAUGCCAUUACUCCUGGAGAGGUCAUUGACACUUAUGGUGUAGGAAGAAUGUUGGUUUCUCAUCGGCCCGACUUCAAGAAAGAUGAUUUGGUAGCAGGCUUUCUUACCUGGGGAGAGUACACUAUAGUAAAGGAAGGUUCCCUGUUGAAUAAGUUGGAUCCUAGUCUGGCGUUUCCUUUGUCUUACCAUGUUGGAGUUUUGGGAUUCAGCGGACUUGCUGCCUAUGGUGGAUUCUUCAAAGUGUGCAAGCCGAAGCCAGGGGAGAAAGUUUUAGUGUCUGCUGCUUCUGGUACAAUCGGACAUUUAGUAGGACAGUAUGCUAAAUUACUUGGAUGUUAUGUUGGUGGCUCUGCUGGUAGCCAAGAAAAGGUAAAUUUUCUUAAGGAGAAACUUGGAUUCGACGAUGCAUUCAAUUAUAAACUAGAAGCUAACCUCAAAUCAGCUCUCAAAAGGUGUUUCCCUAAAGGGAUUGACGUCUACUUUGACAACGUCGGAGGCAAGAUGCUAGAAACUGCAUUGUCAAACAUGAACUCACUGGGCAGAGUAGCCAUCUGUGGGGUUAUUUCUGAGUACACGAAUGCUAGCACACGAGCUUCCCCGGAAAUGUUGGAUAUAGUCUACAAGAGGAUUAGCAUCCAAGGAUUCCUAAUAGCUGAUCUCAUGACAGUGUAUGCAGAUUUCCUGUCGAAAACAGUUGAGUACCUCCACGAUGGAAAACUUAAGGCCAUCGAAGAUAUCUCACAAGGCGUUGAAAGCAUUCCCUCUGCUUUUAUUGGAAUGUUCAAUGGAGAUAAUAUAGGCAAAAAGAUUGUCAAAGUUGCAGAUGAGUGAAAAAAAGAAAAAGAAGAUUCACGGCUGUUGGCCUAUACAUUCAUGAAUUCGCGAACAAUAUCUUAUCUGUACUUCUUUCAAGUUGUAAUCCAUUUAAGCAUUCAUCUUCUGCAUCAAGUUAAAGAACAAGUUUACGUAUUAUGCCUAUCUGAAUCUUGUUUAGUUUUCCUUUUCAUGUAUCCAGGAUUGAAACAAACUCUGUGAUCCUAGUCUACCAACUAUGCCUCAAUCCCAAAUUUUUUAUAUCAACUCAACAAAGUGGAAAAAUACAUCUUUAGCAACUACUUCAAGACCACUAUAAGAUAAAGCAAUAUCAAGGUCCCCAUCAACAUAGAGACCAACUAUUAUGCCAAAAUGAACCCGGGUACUGCAAUAGCAGAGAAGUAAAGUGACAAUGGUUGUACGUAAGUUAGUUUCAAUAGAAUAACAUGAUGGAAAACACUAAAUGUACUAGUAUCACAGUAGAAACAAAAUUUGAGAGGAAUGGAUCAGGAAGAGGAUAAACGUAAUACCAAGUGUUACAUUAACGGCAUUAAUCAUGAACCUGCAGUCAUCCUUCCAUUCAAACAGACUGUCAACAGCCUCUGCCAACGCAGAAUGAACAACUAACUUCUUGUGUUUUCAAGAAAUUAUGGUCCUACAAUUGCAGCCACAGGAAGACACACACAUAGUAGUGAAUGCUUCAUCGUAAGGCUAUUCAUCCUUGACGAGAGCGGUUAAAAGGCACCACAAAGAUGCAUAACCACAACUCCCCUGGAGAGCAAAGAACGUGCCAAAACUAGCACUCAUCAACUUGCGACACUUUUUUUUUUGGGAGAACUAAUUGCAAUAUAAGGAAAAAGAAUUCGAUAAUAUGGACUAUUAUCAUCACAAGUAUCAUGUGACAGAUCAACAUCUAGUUCAGAUUGAUCUACAAAAGCCACACAUUCAAGGGAAGGAGAAGCUUGUUCAACAUUUGUUAUGAUGAACUUGACUUUAAGCUACCAAUAAUGUGAGACGAGAUUUAGCAGACAGGUAACUCUCGCUACAUACAUGCACAUGGUAUGGUAAUAACAUCAGUACAUUACAAAGGAACUGUAGAAACAGGGAAAGCCCGCAUUUCUUCAUUGCGUUCCAAGCAGUUAGCACAGAGAGUGAACUAGCUGUUCGGUUGUUCCUAACAUAGCUUUUUCACUUCCUGAAAAUUCAAUUAGACAGAUUAGUUAGCUGAUAACUGCAUUGACAUCUCAUAUGACAAGUAAAAGCAGUAAUGAUCAAGAAAGCAACACAUGAAGAGCGAGUCCCGACACAGUCUACAUUUAAAGUGUAUUAAACACAAGCUGCUGGCCUUGUUUGAGCAUAAAAGACGAGCUGCAUUUCCCUACAUUUAAAUAUGUCGAAGGCUCUUUAGUUCAUGUUGUAAGCAGUGAAGAUGAACAAAUACAAGGUAGUUGGAUAACCUCAAGCUAGACUGCAUGAAAGUGGUGUAUAAAUGGUAUACUUAGUAUGACAAAUCCCAUAAGAAAAUAAAAAUGAACAAAGAGAUGCUCAUCCUGAUUCCAGUGCAACAUAUUGACCGGCCCAAAAAUGGGUAAUUUGAUUCAGAUCUGGAACACUUCACAGAAAGCAUGACCCUCCCACUACUAAAAAAGACCAAAAAAUGACGGCCAAAAGUGAAGGACAAUGUCGUUUUUUUGGACAACGUUGCUUUUUGCAAACGAUGGCCUGCGUCGCUUUUUUUACCGCGGACAAAGUCGUUUUUUGAAAAAAAAAAAAAGAUCUUUUUAGAAAAAGCGACGUUGUGCGUGGUUUUUUGUUCUUCAUGUGUAGAAUAAAUAAUGAAUAAAAAACGAUGGACAUUGUCAUUUUAUUGAAGAAAAAUAUUUUUUUUUUAGAAAAACCGACAACGUCCGUCGCUUUUCUAUAUUUUUUUGAAUGCAGAAAUCGGCAUUUUCUGCAUUCCACCUGCCAAAUAAAAAUGCAAUUCAAUAUGUACGGCCCCUGACAACACACAUUACUAAAAUAAUCAUACAACACACUACAUCAUCAAAACAUUUAAGCAAUUCAAUUAAACAACAUCCAAAACACUUAACAAUUAAUCCAACAACAUCAAAACACUUAAGUGAUCUUGAAGGUUUUCCAAUAGUUAAAAGUUAAAAGAAUGUUUAAAAAGUGUCUAGAAGCCAAAUCCAAAAACACUAAGGAGUAGCCCCAACAAACUCCUCAUCACUUUCUCCUCAUCACUUUCUGUUUCUUCUUCGCUACUUGAAUCGGGAGAUGGAGAACGGUGACGACAACGAUGAGUCAUGCUAACCAUUUGUUUCUUAAGUUCCUCGAUGGUCAUGCACAUGACUUCAGUUUGAGCAACAGAUUGUGCCACGACGCGUGUAAGCUGUGCAAUUUGUUGCGACAUAUCAGCGAGCUGAACACCAUUAAUCGCCUCAGCCUGGCGCGAGGAACCAAUACCAGCCCAUCCAACCUCGAAGCGUUGCAAUUCAUUUCGAGAACCCAACCCAUAGGUUCUCCCCUUGUCUUCCUCCCGCCACUUUUUCGGUCCGAAUUUGAAUAGCUUCCUCCUAUGUAGGCUCGAUUGGACCAAACUCAGACACGUAGCGUGUAUAUUCAUUCUGCAUAUUAAAAAGGACACGUUAGUAAAUUUUACUAUUACUAAGUAAGGUGGAGCAUAACGUAAAUUUUAAUAUGUUUUGCUUACAUAUUGAAUACAAAAAUAAAUAAGAAAUCAACUUUUUUUUCCUAAACAUUAUUUUAAAGCUAACUUUUGCUUUCCAUCAAAUCUAAUUCGACAAGAAUUUCCACACACAACCCUUUGACUUUUUAAAAUUUGUUCCUCGUAUUGUUUCCACAAAUUGUACAAUUAAAGUUAGCAUGGCUACGUCUCAUUUCAUCCUAUUUCCUCAAUGUAGUGCCACAAAAAGGAUCCAAAUCAACAAACAAUAAGUAAAUCCAUGUUAGUCAAAUUCUUGAAACAAUUUUCCUACAAGGAUUAGCAAAAAUCGUUCGAUAACACUUCUUCCUAUUUCUUUCUCAAUGAUAUCCGACGAUCAAUUUUCCUUGCAAGUACAUACUCGGUACAUUGACCUCGGUCAGAUUUCAGAAAAUUAUGCUAAUACGUUGAUAUCAAACAAAAUAGACCUUCCGAGAAAUGCAUUAAACAAGCCUAUUAGUAAUUUGUACUUGGUGAUACAUCACCAUAGCAUUGAAGAGUUCUUGGAAAGGUCAAGUUACAGAUAUGAUUUGCUACGGUAUUUAGCAACAAGAUAGAGAAUUACUUACAGUAGGGAGACAACUUGUUUAAAAUAACAAAGAAGAGGAGAAUUGAGCUUUAGUAAUUAGAAGAAAGCAUCGCAUUAAACAACGCUUUAAAUCCCAAUAGAUUUAUCUAGAUUCCCCUGUUCAUUGGCAUCUCCAAUCUACACUAGUGAUAAAAACAGUUUAAUGUGUUUCCUCAAUCCUUUUCUCCUUCCAACCCACUUUUCUUCAUGACAACUUUAUUACCAAACUGCGAGAAGAUUUAAAUUGACCAAAUAUGCAACAGAAUGAGAAGAUAGACCUGGAGAAAAUUAUCAGUAAGCUAUAAGCAGCAACGAAAAGGACCAAAUUAGAUAGUAUCUCCUACUUUAACUCUUAUUCAGUAAUGCCACUAUUUCGUAUUUUUCCCUGUUAAGUUUCACCUAAGAAGACAAGUAAAAGUAGGUGCGAGAUCAAACACUAGCACGGGUUAGGCACAUUAUGCUGCCAUGAUUUCUGUGUCCGUGGUCCCCUUUAUGAUUACUCUAUCUAGAGGCCGAAUCGACCCCCUUAUAAAGCUUCUCAAGAAGAACACUAAAAUUAGUCCAGAAGAAAAACACAGAUUAUGUAGAUUGUAAUACCUGAAGAAAAAUACAGCUAGUAACUAGAAGCAAUGAGAAAACCAAAACAAAUCCAGAAGAAACUAAGCAGUUAGCUACCUAUUAGCUGCAAUGAGAAAAGCGAAAAUCAGAUACUAGGAAGACCGUAAUAUCGAUUCCAAAAGUAUCGAGUUUCCGCUUUAUGCCUCAUUAGGUUUCACCAAUAAAAGAUUAAUUAAAGAAGCCACUAGAUCAAACAAUAACCCUGGGAAGGACCUCAGCUUUAUCGGUGCAUUCACAUGCCAAACGUUCUAUGUUCAUGGUGCUCUUACUCCGACUAGAGGCAUAACAUUCUUUAAAACACCGCUGAACAAGAGAAAAGAUGUCCAACAUCAUUUAGUUCAAAGUCAAAGACAAAUUUAUUGUUCCUUGAAGAUAGUGCAUAAAGGAAAAAAUGACUAACAAGAUCUCGAAGCAAUACGGUUUAAAGAUGUCUUUUACAUAUGCAUUGUCUUGUUCUGUAUGCGAAAUAACAAUACGAACUUAACAGCAAUUGAGGAAAACAAAGUAUACUUACAAGUUCUUUGUCACUUGGUUUUCUUUGAUUGGAGUUUUUUCAGCCUUUUGUGUUUUGUUGCAUCUGCAGCCUCUUCUUUAGAAAAAGGACAAACUAGACUUUCAACGUAGAUUGCUAUCUUAGGAAACUCAUCAAAAUCAAUAACCUCUGAAUAUCUAAAUGAAGAAUCCUUCAGCUUGUAUAUCAUGGAAUAUUUAACAAACCUGAAAAAAAUUUCACCUUUGUUUGACAUGAAACAAGGCAGAUAAAAAUCACACCGCGGUGUAUCAAAAGGAUAAUUGACGGUUAACAUCUUUGUCCAAGAUUGUUUAACCCCAUACUCCUUCAUAACCCAAAAAUCUACAUGAGAGGUCGCAUUAUCACAAAAAAUGGAAAGAUCACUUCCCAACACUCCCAAAUACAAAUGAAUAUAUCCCUCUUUGUAGCAAGGAUGCUCCACUUCUCCCCAUUUCUCGUUAGCCAAAUCAAACGAUAUGAUGUUCCAUUCCUUAUAGUCACUUAUCAAACAUUCACCUUAGCAUUAGGCCAGUGAAGUUUCCCCUUCACUAAGAUAUCUGAAAUGUAUACUUCCUCUCGACUUUUACACUUCCUCAAUUGACAAUCGUCAACACUUCCCCAAGAAUCACACUUUAGACUAUAUAGUUUGAGCUCACCUCGAUCGAACUUUACCUUUUCUACAAAAGGUACCCAAUAACUUAUAAUCAUCAUGAAACUUAUCAUAUCCAAAACCAUACACGAGCGCUUUAUCAAACCACAAUGUAGCUCUAGGACAAGGUAAUUUUUUGUACUUUCUAUUCGAUGGAUUCCAUAGAAACAAAUUAUAUUUAGAAUCCACAAGACAAAUCAAUCCAUUGAUAGAACUUAGAAUUGUUAUAUAACUAGGCAAUUCAUUGUACAACCCGUCGGAUAUCAUACGAUGACCCAAGUCAGAUACCUCCGUAACAGAAUCAUUAAAUAAAGAAUCAAGAUUACAAUCUUAAAUAUUCACCCCCUGUAUAGAAUUCCACAUCACCCUAUGUUGGGUAUAACUACUAAGAUGAGUUUGGAUAAAUUCGGGGCUCGAGAUUAAAGCAAGCCAAGAUUUCGAAACACACCUGAAUUGCAAGAGGGACAAAACUCAACAUACGCUUAUAAUGUAGAUGCUCAUUAUUAUUAUCAGAUACAAUAAAAUGUGUAUUAUUAAAUUCGGGGCUAGAGAUUUAGCAAGCCAAGAUUUCGAAACACACAAACUCAACAUAAGCUUAUGAAGUAGAUACUCUUCUUACUACUCCCUCCCCUGACAAUAUUUGUCCACUACACUAAAAUUAAAAAUAAAUGUCAAACAAUACUUGUCUGGUUUAAAAAUCAAUGAAUAAUUUACCCUUUUCUACCCACUUUACCCUCGCUAUUAAAUACUAUUCAUCACUCAAUACAUUUUUCAAAAUAUUAAAGUUAUUACUCCUUCCGUCUAUUUUUACUUGUCCACUUUUCUUAUUAUUUUGGGAUGUGCAACAAUACUUGUCCAAUUUACAAAACCAAUGGUAUUAAAUAUAAUACAUCUCUCAUUUCAUUUUUGAAAGCAAAAAAAUUAUUAUAUUCAAAAGGUGACAUAGUAAAAUCACCCCUCCAUUUAUCGUUUCAAGGUACGUGCCAAGUAAAAAGUGGAUAAGUAUUUACGGACAGAGGGAGUGUAUUCAAAUUUUAUCCUUACUAUUAGAUACUACUCAUCACUCAAUACAUAUUUCAAAAUAUUAAAUUUAUUAUAUUCAAACAGUAAUAUCGUAAAAUUACCCCUAUUAUAUAUUAUUUCUUAACAUGCAUGCCAAUACAGGUAUUGUUGGACAGAGGGAGUAAUAUAUUCGGGGCUAAAUAUUAAAGCAAGCCAAGAUUUCUAAACAUACCUGAAUUUCAAAAGGGAUGAGUUCAGCCGGCAGAAGAGGGAUUGUAAAGUUCAAAUCUUGCAUUGAAUUUGAUGGAAAUCCAGCAGAUUUUGUGCGCUUCUUCCAUUUUUGGUGUUGAGAGUAGGCUUUAUCUUCCUCAUUUUCCAUUUGGGCGCCACAAAUUUGAGUGAAAUUUUCGCAAAGUUUAUAGUAGUCAGCUGUGGAUCGAAUUCGACAUGGGUCGGGUCGGGUAUAUUGGGAAUAGUGGGUUCUCUCUUCAAAAUUGGAUAUCUUUAGGCAAUUUGGGGUUUUUCGUUUAUCUAGAGUAUGGGUAACACAUUUAUUAAUUGUGAGUCAGGUAGACGAUUUGUAAAAAUUGAUCGUAUUUUUGAAAAUAACUUCUUCUAUUUUAUUUUAUUGAAUACUUGGCGCAUAACUUUAUUUGAUUAUUUAAUACUAUGGUAGUAUGGAAAAUAAAUAAUAGAAUACUCUUGAUUUGUAAAAAUAAAUAAGUAAAUUAAAAUUUUCUUGACUUCUGAUUUUGAAUACAAUUCUUUUAAUUUUGAAAUUGUGGGGUCUAAACGACCAAUUUUAAAUGAAAAAUUGGGCGUGUUGUAGCAUAGGCGUUUAGGUCAUAUCUCUAAAUACAGAGUUGAUAGAUUGGUUAAGUCUAAUAUUUUACCUUCUCUUGAUUUUGGGGACAUAGGAACAUGUAUUGAUUGCAUUAGAGGAAUGAUACAAAAGUGAGUGUGUAUCAAUAGAGUCAAGCCAACACAAGAACACAAGAAUAACAAGAUGAACAACAACAAUGUUAGUGAAUCGAAAUAGGCCACACACGGCUUCACUAGACUUCAAGGUUUACAAAAACAAUAAGAUGAUAGAGAUUACAAUAACAACAAGAAGAGCGACAAAGUGACAUCAACUAUAGUGAAUCGAAAAUAGCCCCACACGGCUUCACUAUGUUACCAUACAAACAACAAGAUUACAAAAUUAAAGAUAGUAACUUGACAUACAAUAUUCAAGAAUCUAAGAACCCUAACAACAUGAAAGGACCCUAAGAUUAAAGAAUAUUAUCACCAAGCUCUUACUUGGACCAAGAGGAACUCAAUGACCUCAAGAUCCUAGUUUCUAGCCAAGAUUCAACCCAAGUGUCACUCCAAUUGGGAAUUUCGGUUUUGAGCUUUUCCAAUGGAAGAGAAAAGUUCAAAAUAUUACAAGUCUUGUGUUCUCAAAAUAUCAUGAAUGAACUACCACAAGACUAGCCCUAACAAAUGACUUAUAUAGUCAAUUACAAAGGAGGGACAAAAGACCAAAAUACCCUUGGCAUUAAGUGGGUGGGUUUGGGGUGUUUUGUUGGGCCUCUUCACAUUUUAAUAACUAUAGGCCCUUUGAUGGGCUCACAAGGGCCUCACACAAGGCCAAGGAUGUGAACAAGGUUUGGAGUCGUUGCAACUCACGCGCUUGGCUUCAUGUGAAAGGUCUCGAGCUAGGAAUUCUCGCACCAUCCUCUCCAUCUUGAAGGGAAUUUGUCCUCAAAUUCGGAUCAUUUCCAUCCUCCACCGUGUCCACCCGAGAGAGGUCACACACGUUGAAAGUGUUGUGCACUUGAUAUUCCGGGGGUAGAUCAAUCUUGUAGGCGUUGUCGUUGAUCCUUUCUAAUACUUGGAACGGGCCAUCACCCCGCGGCAUCAACUUAGCAUUCCUUUUAGAUGGGAAUCUAUCCUUCCUUAGGUGCACCCACACCCAAUCUCCCAGUUUAAGAAUGAGCUUUCUUCUUCCUUUAUUGGUUCGCCUUGCAACUUCUUGGUUUUUCUUCUCCAACCGCAACCUCACCUUCUCAUGUAGCUUCUUAUGGCCUCGGCCUAUUUGCUUCCAUCUAAGCUUAUCACAAAAUCACUUGGCAAAGGGUUUAAAUCCAAAGGGGUAAGGGGGUUGAUUUCGUAUACACACUCGAAGGGUGUCAUCCCCGUGCUUGAGUGUAUAACACGAUUAUAAGCAAACUCAAUCAACGGUAAGUGCUCCUCCCAAGAAGUCAUUUUUCCCUUAACCAUGGACCGUAGCAUAGACCCUAAGGUCCUAUUUACUACUUCCGUUUGGUCAUCGGUUUGUGGGUGGCAUGAAAUCGAAAACAACAACUUAGUACCGAGCUUACCCCACAUGGACUUCCAAAAGUGGCUUAGGAAUUUAGAAUUCUUAUCACUCACUAUAGUCCUCGGAACACCAUGAAGUUUUACAAUAUUAUCAACAAACAAAGAGGCUACACUAGGCGCAUCAUCACAUUUAGAACAAGGAAUAAAGUGAGCCAUCUUGGAAAACUGAUCCACCACGACAAAAAUACUAUCCCGCGCCCUUUUAGUUCUCGAUAAUCCCAACACGAAGUCCAUUGAUAUAUCAAGCCAAGGACGCAAAAGGGUGGACAACGGGGUGUACAAUCCAUGGUGUUGGAUCCGUGACUUAGCUCCUUUGCACUCAACACAUUGGCCGCAAAUUCGGGCCACAUCCUUGUGCAUUCUGGGCCAAUAAAAUUAUUCUUCCAAAAUUUCGAGGGUCUUCUCGACCCCAAAAUGACCCAUUAGAUAGUCAUUGUGUGCUUCCUUCACAAAUAAUUCUCUCCACGAACUUGAGGGAACACACAAUCAUCUACCCUUAAAUAAGUAUCCAUCAAAUUUGGUAUAAGGAUAGGAACCCCUAUCCGUAACCCACCUAUCCCUAUCCAACUCUUUAUUUUCCCUAUAGAUAGGAGCGAAGUGAGGGUCCUCGGGAUAUAAAGACUUGAGGCUUUCAAACCCCAUCAACUUAGAUGACAAAGUAGACACAAGCACAUGUUUUCGGGACAAAGCAUCGGCAACCACAUUGUCUUUACCCUUCUUGUAAUGAAUAACAUAAGGGAAAUUUUCAAGAAAUUCAAUCCAUUUGGCAUGCCGCCGGUUAAGCUUGUCUUGUGCCCGUAGAUGCUUCAAGGAUUAAUGAUCUGUUUGGAUCAUGAAUUCUUUAGGCCACAAAUAAUGUUGCCAAGUGGCCAAGGCUCUAAUCAAGGCAUACAACUCAAAAUCAUACGUAGAGUAGUUUAGAGUUGCUCCUUUGAGCUUUUCUCUAAAGUAGGCAAUAGGCUUCAAUUCUUGCAUUAAAACCGUACUUAUGCCGACUUUGCUAGCAUCACAUUUGACCUCAAAAAGUCUAGUCAAAAUUCGGCAAUUGUAGUAAAAGGGUCGAGAUGAGCAUAGCUUUCAAGUCCUCGAAGGCCUUAGCUUGUUCAUUUUUCCACUUGAAAGGUCGAUCCUUUUUAAUCACUUCGGUCAAGGGGGCGGCAAUGGUGCUAAAUCCUUUGACAAAACGUCUAUAAAAACUAGCCAACCCGUGGAAGCAUCUCACUUCACCUAUGGUUUUGGGGGUUGGCCAAUUUUUAAUAGCGUCAAUCUUAGAUUCAUCCACUUCGACCCCUCUUGAGCUCACCACAAACCCAAGAAAUACAACCUUAUGGAGACCAAAAGAACACUUUUCUAGAUUGGCAUAUAACUUCUCCUUUCGGAGGACAUCAAAUACACAUUAUAAAUGCUUUACAUGCUUAUCUAAGGACUUACUAUACACCAACACGUCAUCAAAGUAAACAACAAAAAAAAUUCUGAUAAAUGGCUUUAUCACAUGAUUCAUUAGCCUCAUGAAAGUACUUGGAGCAUUUGUUAGGACGAAUGGCAUAACCAUCCAUUCACAGAGACCGAAUUCGGUCUUGAAGGUGGUUUUCCAUUCAUCACCCGAUUGCAUACGAAUUUGGUGAUAGCCACUCCUUAAAUCAAUUUUAGAAAACAAACACGAACUAUUCAAUUCAUCAAGAAUAUCAUCUAGCCUAGGAAUAGGGUGAUGAUAUUUUACUGUUAUCUUGUUGAUGGCUCGGCAAUCAACACACAUACACCAAGUCCCGUCUUUCUUGGGCACUAGUAGCACCGGGACUGCACAAGGGCUCAUACUCUUCUUGAUAUACCCUUUGUUGAGGAGUUCCUCAACUUGGCAUUGCAAUUCUUUGGUAUCCGUUGGGUUGCUCCUAUAAGCCGGUUUGUUGGGCAAUUGUGAACCCAGUACAAAAUCUAUUUGAUGCUCAAUUCCCCAAAGUGGGGGCAAUUCUUGUGGUAAUUCUUUCGGGAAGACAUCUUCGUAAUCCUGUACAACAUGAGAAAUAGGAGGAGAAAUGGAAACGUUAGUGGGGUUAGUAUUAAAAUAAUGAGCCAAGAGGAGCAUCGGAGUGUCCUCAUCAUGAUCCACAAAUAGUUCUUUCCUCCUAUACAUCAUCACCACACUUCCUUGCCCCUUAGAAAUUAGGAUCUCCUUGGUUUCUCCUACUCUCUCACUCUCGGAUUCCCCUCUUUUUCCCUCACUCUCGACCUUCUUUCCCUUCUUCCUCAAUUCCCGCAUCUUUUGGUGUAAUUCAUUCACUUGGGAAGGCAAUAAUGGAUGAAGAGCGAACUUUCGGCCAUCCUUCUCAAGUGUAUAUCGAUUGGACCUUCCAUCAUGUUUAGUCGACCUAUCGUAUUGCCAAGGCCUUCCUAACAAUAAGUGACAAGCUUGCAUUGGUAUCACGUCACAAAGCACCUCGUCAUGGUAGUUGACUACCUUAAAACGUAUCACGCAUUGCCUUGUGACCUUUAACUCUCUGCAUUUAUUCAACCAUUGCAACUUGUAAGGACUAGUGUGAGGUGUAGUUGGAAAUUUCAAGAAGUUCACCAUUGCAACACUAACCACAUUCGCAUAACUUCCACUAUAUAUCACCAUAGUGCACACACUUCCCUUCAUAAGACAUUUAGUAUGGAAUAGAUUCUCCCGUUGGCUAGGAUCAUCUAUCACCUUACUAAUCAUGGCACGCCUCACUACAAAGUUUAGAACCACACACUCCCCUUCUUUCGGAUAUGGAUCCUCACAAUCAUCAUCAUCAUCAUGUGGCUCAUUUUUGGGUUCCUCUCCAUCUUGAGUCUUGGCCUCAUUCUCUUCAUUUUUAAGACCCACUUCCUCACCAAGGUAAUACAAUCUCUCUUCUCUUAGGAUCACAUUGUGUCGGUUUGGACAUUCAUUGGCUUUAUGUCCCCAACCUUGGAACUUAAAACAUUGGAACCCUUUAGGAUUAGGAUACUUAUGAGCCUCUUGCCUUGGUGGAUAUUUUUGUAUUGCCUUGGCCUCGGGUUGCCUUGUAGUGGUGUGUUGGUCUUUGUUUUUGUGCCAACCCGUGGUGGAGGAAGCAACCUCCUUACCCCUCGGCCAACCCGAGGGUGCUUGACCCUUGGAUUUGUAACUUGUUCUUUCCUUAAAUUCUCUUUCAAUUUUAAUGGCCUCUUGAAAGAUUCCUUCAACGGUAUCAAAUUUAUGGAGAGUCAAGUGAGUAGUAAUAUCCUUAUUCAACCCACACUUGAACCGAAUAAUGUCAUGGACGAUUUGUUCUCCCCGAUGGCCAAGCUUCAACAUGAGUUAUUGAAACUCAUCAUAGUAUGCCAUAACACUUCGAUUCCCUUGUCGCAAGUUGUACAACCUCGCAAUCAACUCAUGACGAUACCUUUUGGGAAGGUACCAUUGCCUCAUUAGAUACCUUAAUCGAAACCAUAGUGGUGGUUGCCUAUGUAUCAACUCAUUUCCAAAUCGCUUGAUGUAUUCCCACCAAGUGUUAGCAUAGACUUCAAAGUGGGCUAUGGCAUAAAAACUCUUCUUCUCCUCGAAAAUAUCAUUCACUUGGAAUACCUUGUCACACGCUGAUUCCCAAGCGAGAUACACCUCGGGGUCACUUUCACCCUUAAAGAUAGGUAGACUCAAUUUGAUGGUAUUGAUGCCCAUGUCUCUCUCUAGGUGUUGGUUUCCCCUUUCUCUAUACCCUCGGUAUCUCCUUGGAUCCACACGACCCUCUCUCAUCUCCUCCUCCCUUAUGUAGGCAUCGUCAUAGGCUCCAUACCCUUCAUAAUCCCCUCUACCAUAUUCCUUAAGAUGGACAGGACGAUUUUGGACAUUUGGAACUUGAUUCGGAGGAAUUGGAUUUUGUGGAGGUGGUGGUAUUUGGUUUAGUGGAGCUUGGAAAGAGGGGGUUUGGGUUUUGUGGAGGCAUUUGACGUCUAAGUACCUCUUGCGGAACUUGAGGAAUUUGGGAAUGGGUUGGUCUAUUAGAGUCUCGAUUUAGAAUGUUAUGAGUGGUUUGGCUUGCGGCAUUUAGGGGAGCUAGUGAAGAAAUUGGCAAUUGUGGCCAUGUUUUGGGAGUAACGGUGGCGGAGGAAUUUCUAUCAUGUCCACUUGAUGAAACAUUUCAAAGAGUAGAAGGACGAGAGUUCCUUUGACUCUCCACUUAUUCUAAUUCCUUUGACUCUCCACUUGUUCUAACCUCCCACUAAUAGUCGUCACUUCUCACCUUAUGGCUCCCACUUCCAUACUCAAUCUUUCAAGAGUGACCCUCAUAUUCUUCAUUUCAUUAGAAUCCACGGUUUGACAUGUGGUUCCCUCCAUUGUCAAGGUAUCACCUACGCAAACAUCAAACACGUUAGUUAAAAUCCCUCUUCUCACUCACACUCGAGCUCCACAAGUGUUGUAGAUUGGCUAGUUGAAUCCUUAAGGUAUGAGUAUGCUUUUGUCCGGAGUGGAUUUUUGUUGGAAACUCAAAGAAUUCUCGUCGGAAUAGAGCCAAGAGUUACAACGUAUUCAAAUGACAAAAGAACACAAACAAACGUUGACACGAACACAAAGCUUCAAAGGACUAAUUAACAAGCUAGUAGGAAUGUACUAGGUUGUCAAUUAGUGUUCAAACCAACAAAAAACACUAAGAAACAAUAAAAUUAAACUAAGAAAUCUAAAAUUUGAACUCAAAAUAUUGUGUGAACAGUAAUUUAGUGAUGUGGCAGUCCACUAUUGGCCUCGGUUUUGUCAGAAUUUUACUCUCCAAUUUCAAGUCUUGACCAAUCUAUAAUUUGGAAAUGGUGGAAUUGGUUAAUGGAGGAAAAUUCGAUCUUGAAGCUUACUUUUCAAAUUCAAAACAAGACUUGACCUUCUUGGUACUUUCUCCUUGAAACAAGGUCAUUAAAUCAAGGAAAGUAGGUGAAAAGUGGUUGUCAAGUCUUUUGAGUGAUGUGAUCAAGUCUUUCAUCAACAAAUACUACAACUUGGUGUUUCACCUUUUGUGGAUCUAAUGUUAACUUUUUGUUUUAAAAAAGAUGAAAAGGGUGAAGAACAAAAAGAACACAAUAACAACCCCAAGAACAACCAACAACAACCACGGCCAAAACAAUCCACCACAACAACAAUGUUCAACAAUGGACAGCCAAGUUCAAGUUCACAAUAACAAAAUCAAUUUUUAGAGCUCAAAUCUAGAUCGACUCAAAGUGUUAGUGAACAAGAGAAAUAAAACUAGAAACAACACUGAAGACAAUUAAAAAUCUUUCGAAGACACAACAAGAAUACAAUUUUUGUCCAAGAACACAACAACGGACAGAUUUGACUGUUUCUGAAAUUUUUCAGUUUUCAGUUUUUUUGUUUUUUGUAGUUUUCAAGUCCCAAGCCCAAGAUUGAUCUUGUUAAAACAAAAUCGAAGAUGACUUUGAUACAAAAGUGAGUGUGUAUCAAGAGAGUCAAGCCAACACAAGAACACAAGAAUAACAAGAUGAACAACAACAAUGCUAGUGGAUCGAAAUAGGCCACACACGACUUCACUAGACUUCAAGGUUUACAAAAACAAUAAGAUGAUAGAGAUUACAAUAACAACAAGAAGAGCGACAAAGUGGCAUCAACUAUAGUGAAUCGAAAAUAGCCCCACACGGCUUCACUAUGUUACCACACAAACAACAAGAUUACAAAAUUAAAGAUAGUAACUUGACAUACAAUAUUCAAGAAUCUAAGAACCCUAAAAACAUGAAAGGACCCUAAGAUUAAAGAAUAUUAUCACCAAGCUCUUACUUGGACCAAGAGGAACUCAAUGACCUCAAGAUCCUAGUUUCUAGCCAAGAUUUAACCCAAGUAUCACUCUAAUUGGGAAUUUCGGUUUUGAGCUUCUCCAAUGGAAGAGAAAAGUUCAAAAUAUUACAAGUCUUGUGUUCUCAAAAUAUCAUGAAUGAACUACCACAAGACUAGCCCUAACAAAUGAAUUAUAUAGUCAAUUACAAAGGAGUGACAAAAGACCAAAAUACCCUUGGCAUUAAGUAGGUGGGUUUGGGGUGUUUUGUUGGGCCUCUUCACAUUUUAAUAAGUAUAGGACCUUGGAUGGGCUCACAAGGGCCUCACACAAGGCCAAGGAUGUGAACAAGGCUUGAAGUCAUUGUAACUCACGCGCUUGGCUUCAUGUGAAAGGUCUCGGGCUAGAAAUUCUCAUAUCAAGGAAAGUUGACUAAAACAAGCAAAAAGAAUGAUAUUUGUAGUUCUAGUUGUUGAAAAUCAUUCACCCAGACAUAAGUGGUCCGUAUUAUACUUCAAUAUGUGGUUCAAAUUAUUUUAUCACCUUUAUUGAUAACUUUUCUCGGUAUGAUUAUGUUUUUCUUAUUAAAAAAAUCAUAUUCUCUUGAAAUGUGCAAAGUGUUUAAAACUGAAGUAGAGAAACAACUGGGAAAGGUUAUUAAGAUAGUGUGGUCUGAUCAUGAGGGUGAGUACUAUGGUAGAUACACUGAGACUGGGCAACAGAUGGGACCUGUAACACCCCAACUUAGGAAGGAGUUCCACAUCAGCAAAACACAGGAGGAAUGUUUGGUAUAUAAGUAAGAAAACCUUACUCCCUAGUGAUGCGUUAAAUCCAUGAGGGCCUGGACCCAGAGUGGACAAUAUCACUAGUGGGUUGAGGAGUUCAGGGGUAUCUCGGGCCUUGAUGGUUCAGGAUGUCCGUUAUGGCCAGGGCCCGAGCUCGGGUCAUGACAGAACUCUUUGCCAAAUAUCUACAAGAUUGUGGCAAAGUUUCCCAGUACACCAUGCCUGGUAGUCCUGACCAAAAUGGUGUAGUCGAAAGGCGAAAUAGUACUUUAAAAGAUAAUAAUGAGAAGUAUGAUGAGUAGAUCUAACUUACCUGAGUUUCAAGCUAUUAAAACUGUACUUUAAAAGAUAUGAUGAGAAGUAUGAUGAGUAAGCUAUUAAAAUCAUACUUUAAAAGAUAUGAUGAGAAGUAUGAUGAGUGUGAAGCUAUUAAAAUUGUACUUUAAAAGAUAUGAUGAGAAGUAUGAUGAGUAAGCUAUUAAAAUCAUACUUUAAAAGAUAUGAUGAGAAGUAUGAUGAGUAAGCUAUUAAAAUCGUACUUUAAAAGAUAUGGUGAGAAGUAUGAUGAGUAAGCUAUUAAAACCGUACUUUAAAAAACUUGUACUUUAAAAGAUAUGAUGAGAAGUGUGAUGAGUAAGCUAUUAAAACCGUACUUUAAAAGAUAUGAUGAGAAGUAUGAUGAGUAUGAUGAGAAGUAUGAUGAGUAAGCUAUUAAAAUCGUAAUUUAAAAGAUAUGAUGAGAAGCCGUAAUUUAAAAGAUAUGAUGAGAAGUAUGAUGAUUAGAUACGAUGAGUAGAUCUAACUUACCUGAAAUCCUCUGGGUUGAAGCUGUUAAAACCUCCAUAUAUAUUCUUAAUUGUGUCCCUUCCAAAUCAGUCCCUAAAACCCCUUUUGAGUUGUAGAACCAACAGAAAAUUUAGUUUAAAUUAUUUUCGAGUUUAGAGACCUUCUGCAAAGGUAAAGAUAUAUAACCCUUCAGAAAAAAAAACUGAACCUAGAACCAUGCGUUGUUUUUUCAUUUGGUUAUCCAACUGCGAAUGUAAAGAUAUAUAACCCUUCAGAAAAGAAAACUGAACCUAGAAGUUGUUUUUUCAUUAGUUAUCCAACUCAUUCUAAAGGAUAAAGGUUCUACAGUCCUACAAGGGGAACAAGAAUAGUUGAAUCUCAAAAUGCAAAACUUCUUGAAUUUGAUGUUGCAGAUAAGGAUUGUUCUCAGCAUAUCUCAGCAUAUCACUCCUGACUUAAUUGUUUCCCAUUCAAGUCAGUCCUUAAAACCCCUUUUGAGUUAUGGACCAAUAUAAACUUCAGUUUAAAUCAUUUUUCGAGUUUGGAGAUGUUUUGCGAAGGUAAAGAUAUAUAACCCUUCAGAAAAGAAAACUGAACCUAAAACCUCGCAUUGUUUUUUCAUUGGUUAUCCAGCUCAUUCUAAAGGAUACAAAUUCUAUUAUCCUACAAGGGGAACAAGAAUAGUUGAAUCUCAAAAUGCAAAAUUUCUUGAAUUUGAUGUUGCAGAUAAGGAUUGCUCUCAGCAUAUUGCUCCUGAGCCAACUGAAAGUAUUGAAGCUGUCAGAAUUCCUCUUAGUAUUACCUCAAAAUCAUUAGUAUCUGCACCUAUACAUGAUGAACCUCAUAUACAUGUGCAAACUGAUGACUUUGUACCUGCAGAAAUUAGGUGCCUAUUAUUGAAAAAGUGGUUCAGGCACCUGCUGUUGUUGAUCAAGAGGUUCAGAAUUUAAGGAGAUCAAGUAGACCAAGACGAUCGUGCGCUAUUGGAUGAUUAUUUAGUAUACCUAGAUGAAGGUGACAUUGUUGAUCCUGUAACCUUUUCGGAAGCUUCAUCGUGUGCUCAAUCAAAGAUGUGGCUUGAUGCUAUGUCUGAAGAGAUAAAAUCCAUGAGUAAAAAUAAUGUGUGGGAGCUUUCAAAGCUUCCUAAAGUCUAAAAGGUUGUUGGAUGUAAAUGGAUUUUUAUGACCAAGAAGGAUUCAAUGGAAAUAUUGAACGAUUCAAGGCGAGAUUACAAUGAAACUUUUUCACCAGUGUCAUCUAAGGAUUCUUUUAGGAUCAUUAUGGCAUUAGUAACCCAUUUUUAUCUUGAGCUACAUCAAAUGGAUGUAAAGACAACCUUUUUGAAUGGUGAUCCUAAUGAAGAGAUUUACAUGCAACAACCCCAAGGUUUUGUUGGUAAAGGCAGCGAGCAUCUUGUGUGUAAAUUGAAGAAAUAUAUUUAUGGCUUGAAGCAAGCUUCUCGAUAGUAGUACUUGAAGUUUGAGGAAAUUAUGAAUUCUAUGGGGUUUGUGGAGAACAAUAUUGAUCAUUGCUUCUAUCUCAAGAUUAGUGGGAGUAAUUUCAUCAUUCUCACUCUUUACGUUGAUAAUAUUUUACUUGCUAGUAAUAAUUCAGGACUGUUGCACGAAAUUAAACAUUCAUUAAAUAAAAUUUUUGAUAUGAUAUAUCUAGGAGAGGCAUCAUUUGUUCCGGGCAUUGAGAUUCGACGAGAUAGAUCUCGUAAGUUAUUGGGGUUUUCACAAAAGGCCUAUAUUGAUCGUAUUUUGAAAAGAUCUCAAAUGAAAAAUUGUAAGCCUGGUGAUGUCCCUGUGGUGAAAGGUGAUAAGUUAAGCCUAGACUUGUGUCCCAAAAAUGAUCUUAAGAAAGAUUCUAUGAAAUAUGUGCCUUAUCGAAGUGUUGUUGAAAGUCUUAUGUAUGCACAAGUUUGCACUCGUCCUGACAUUGCUUUCAUUGUCAAUGCUCUUGGAUGUUAUCAAACUAAUCCAGGAAGAAGUCAUUGGGUAGCUACUAAGAAAGUAAUGAGGUGCUUGAAGAAGACAAGAGAUUAUAUAUUAGUGGACAAAAACGUUGACGACCUUGAGGUAAUUGGUUACAUAGACUCAGACUUUGCUAGGUGUCCUGAUGAUUUGAGGUCCACAUCUGGCUUUAUCUUUAUGUUUCCAGGGGGUGCGAUAUCUUGGAAGAGUGUGAAGUGAACUCUUAUAGCAUCUUCCACUAUGCAAGCAGAAUUCGUAGCUUGUUAUGGUGCAGCUACACAAGCCAUUUGGUUUAAGAAUUUUAUUUCAGGGCUUGUGGUAGUUGAUUCCAUCUCUAGCCCCUUGAAGAUUUAUCGUGACAAUAAGGCAGCUGUGUUUUACUCAAAAAAUAAUAAAUCUUCUUCAGUUUCUAAGCAUAUGAAAAUAAAAUCUCUGACUGUGAGAGAUAUGGUUAAAAGGGAGGACAUUGUGAUUGAACAUACACCUACCGAUUUGAUGUUUGUUGCUCCACUAAUCAAGGUGCUAAGACCUAUAGUUUUUACACAACAUAUUCAUAAUAUGGGUGUUGUUGAGUCAUUUGAUUUGUUGGGUUAGUGGGAGUAUUUAAUAUUGUUAUUCAUUUGUCAUUAGACUAUUCACCUUAUUGUUUCAUAUUUAUGGUGAUAUUAUCUCUUGAAUUUACAUUUAUGCUAUAGUAGAUUUUGCUAUCAUUUAUGUUGUUGAUUAUUAUUGUGUACACUUUAAUAUUGUUUUAUUAUAUUAAGGCUUUUUGCCUUACGUGUUAGCUAUAUCUCAUAUUGAUAAGAUGAUAUUGUUGUUUUAUUGAAUUUUUCUUUUGGAGACAUACGAUAUAUCAUUCUACCUAGUGAAUUUUUUGGUUGUUGCACCAUGUAAUAUGUUGCACAUGUUGAACCUUGAAAAUCAAGAUUUUCUGCUGGAGCACAUGUUGUUUUAGUGCUCACACAUGUUGUAACAAAAUCGCGGUGAUGAUUUUUCUAUGGUACGCAUGUUGAUUUUAAACGUACAUGUUAAUAUGAAAAAUCGUUUGAAGGACUAACAAUGAAAUAGCCUCGAUUUGGAGUCCAUGUUUGCUAUUUUUUGCUACACUACCACAUUAUUUGGUUUAUGUCUACAAAACUUCAGUGUUAGUAAUCGUGGACUGAUUUUGUAUCGUUGGUUGAUGCACGUACUGUUGCAGUUCAACAGUGAUGUUUUCCUUGACUGAACUAUGUUGGAGAUGGCGUUCCACCACUAAAUAUUUAUGGCCACUGUCUACUCAGUUUGAGAGUCAUUUUCAUAAAAAUAUUUUUUUCAAAACUUUUCUUUAAAAGUUAACGUUGUCAAGUGAAAGAAUGUUAGAAUUAUUUAUUUUAUAUGGACUUAACGUUAACUUUUUAUUACAUUAAAGUAAAACGAGAUGAUGAUAUUAAUUGGUGGACAAGACACAGGUCGUGUAUUCAUGUGGAUUCCAUAUCGGCCUGUAUCCAUUUCAUAUUAUUGGUAUGGGCUGACAAUAAUGUAGGCCUGUAGUAGACCUGUGAGCCCAUAAUGAGGGUGCACUAGGUUAAGGCUUUUAAGCCUAUAAAUAUAAGGCUAGGUCCCCUCUCCUGAUUUUAACAUAAGACGUAUUCCCAUAACUUAAGUUGCUACUAUCAUAAGCAAAGGAGAGGAAGACUCCGCCUAGUUCGUCUUCCAUUACAUGUAAGCAAUGACGAACAAAGGUACACACCUUUCCUCUCUCAUAUUCCGUUAUUUUGUGUUCUUGAUUUAUGUGAAUCUGUGAUGUGUUUCUCUAUUAAUUUCAACAUAAAAUGCUUCUCCAUAUUUUUUUUUUUUUAAGUGGCUAAAUUCCCUUUUUGUAAUUACUUGGAUCAUGUGUUAUCGAUUCAUUGAUUAUUUUUACUAAAGUUCAUUAUUUAAAAAUUAUUUUGGCACAAAUGACAAAUGACAUCAUUUUAUUCAAUGUUUUACACAUCAUUCGCGAGUGUGACUCACACAUGUGAUAUAUUUUGUAUUGAUUAUGUAAAAAGUGCCAAAAUUAAGUAGUAAAACAACAGUUAAGAUGUUUAAAAUGAACCAUAUAUAGUUGAAGUGCACAAAUAAAAAUUGAUGAUGACUUCAAGGAGGUGGGGAUGUGUUUGGCCACAAUAGGAACUUUCUAUCUCUCUUAAGUUAUAUAUUUCCAUUGUCACUUCAAUUGAAUCCAAUAUUUCUAGGCUCAAAUGAAAUAUUGAUUCUAUUUUGUUGACAAUGUUCUGAAAACAUUCAGAAUAUUAUACUCACUCGGUGUUUAUAUCAAAAUAAAUAAUUUAACUUCAGAAAUUAAAAAAUGAAAUGACAAUACAUAUUUUUCAGUAAGAAAUUUUUUGAUUGCAAUCACAAGAAAACAAAUGAAAACAACAAAAGCUUAGUUUAUGAGCAACAAUGAAUGUCAAUUUGUCUUUAUUUUUUUUAGAACUUAUUUCUCAUCACAACUUAUCUCUGCCUUCUUGUGAGGGGCAAGGCCUGCUGUUUAAAUUGUCUUGUUCUUAGAUAUUUCUUUAAGGCAUCUGAUACUGACAAUUUUUGUCUUGGUUUGAGACAACAUAAAAAAUAUCUAUGCACUUUGUCAUUUUCUUUAUUUUGAUGUUUCACCUACCUCAUAGAUCUAAAGGAGAUGUUCAAAAACAAGAACAAUGAGCUAAGUGGACUCAGGGGGCAGACCUAUGUGUAAUUUUGUAGUGUCCCAGCAUCCGUUGAACACGACGUAAACAAGAUAUAAUUAUAUAAGAAAUGUAAUAAAGAUUGAUAUAAGAUUUAAAAAAUGAAGGUUGAGUGCUUGGUUUCCAGGCGGAAUCCUAAAACCUUGGGCAUCAAUAUGCGUGUUUGAACCACCCGGACACCCACGACCCCUAGAUCCUGAAUCUACCGUUGAUGUGGUUUCAUGAUACCUAACUCAUCAAUGUAUGAAAAUCGAUGGGCUUUACAUUUUCUUUAACUAAUCAGUAUAUAAGGACCUAAAAAUAGUUGAGUCAUAUAAGCAUUUCACAUUACAUUCUUCUACACUUUUUCUACCCCUUUCAUAAUAGUACCAAGCCAAAAGGUACCUACAAAGAUGGAAGUUAAGAACAAGUAUGUAGCAAUAAAAGCCAACAUCAAUGGUGCACCAGAAGAGUCAGACUUCGAGAUAAAAGUCAAAAACCUCUCACAUAUAGUUGAGCCAGAGUCUAAGGAGGUUGUCAUCAAGAACCUGUUAGUAUCGAUUGAUCCUUAUCAGAUAAACCGGAUGAAGAGCCAAAGUUCAUCACAAACAUCGAUAAGUUAUGCAACUGCCAUUACUCCUGGCGAGGUCAUUGACACUUAUGGUGUAGGAAGAGUGUUGGUUUCUCAUCGGCCCGACUUCAAGAAAGGUGACUUGGUAUCUGGGCUGCUUACCUGGGGAGAGUACACUGUUGUAAAGGAAGGUUCCCUGUUGAAUAAGUUGGACCCUUCUCUGGCAUUUCCUUUGUCUUACCAUGUCGGAGUUUUUGGAUUCAGUGGACUUGCUGCCUAUGGUGGAUUCUUCGAAGUGUGUAAACCGAAGCCAGGGGAGAAAGUUUUCGUGUCUGCUGCUUCUGGUUCAAUAGGACAUUUAGUAGGACAGUAUGCUAAAUUACUAGGAUGUUAUGUUGUUGGCUCUGCUGGUAGCCAAGAAAAGGUAAAUUUUCUUAAGGAGACACUUGGAUUCGACGAUGCAUUCAAUUAUAAACAAGAAACUGACCUCAAAUCGGCUCUCAAAAGGUGUUUCACUCAAGGGAUCGAUGUCUACUUUGACAAUGUGGGAGGCAAGAUGCUAGAAGCAGCAGUGGCAAACAUGAAUUCAUUCGGCAGAGUAGCCAUCUGUGGGGUUAUUUCUGAGUACACGAAUGCUAGCACACGAGCUGCCCCAGAUAUGAAGGAUAUAGUCUACAAGAGGAUUAGAAUCCAAGGAUUCCUAGCAGCUGAUUUCAUGCCAGUGUAUGCAGAUUUCCUGUCGAAAACAGUUGAGUACCUCCAAGAUGGAAAACUUAAGACCAUCGAAGAUAUCUCACAAGGCGUUGAAAGCAUCCCCUCUGCUUUUAUUGGACUGUUCAAUGGUGAUAAUAUAGGCAAAAAGAUUGUCAAAGUUGCAGAUGAGCGAUAAAAAGAACAAGAAGAUUCAAGACUGUUGACCUAUUUGUUCAUGAAUUCACGAACAAUAUCUUAUCUGUACUUCUUUCAAGUUGUAAUCCAUUUAAACGUUCAUCUUCUGCAUCAAGUUAACGAACAAGUUUAUGUAUUAUGCCUAUCAGAUUCUUGUUUACUUUUCCUUUUCAUGUACCCUAGAUUGAAACAAACUCUGUGACCCUAUCGUCUACCAACUAUGUCUCAAUCCCAAAUUUAGUUGACUACAUGAAUCUUUUACAUCAACUCAACAAAGUGGAAAAAUACAUCUUUAGCAACUACUUCAAGACCACCAUAAGAUAAAGCAAUAUCCGGGUCCUCAUCAACAUACAGACCAACUAUUAUGCCAAAACGAAUCCCGGUACUGAAAUAGCAGCAAAGUAAAGUGACAAUGGAUGUACAUAAGUUAGUUUCAAUAGAAUGACACGAUAGAAAACACUAAUGUACUAGUAUCACAGUAGAAACAAAAUUUGAGAGGAAUGGAUCAGGAAGGGGAUGAAUGUAAUACCAAGUGUUACAUUAACAGCAUUAAUAUUGAACCUGCAGUCUUCCUUCCAUUCAAACAGACUGUCAACAGCCUCUGCCAAUGCAGAACGAACAACUAGCUUCUUGUGUUUUCAAGAAAUUAUGGACCUACAGGAAGACACACACAUAUUAGUGAAUGCUUCAGCGUAAAGCUAUUCAUCAUUGAGCGGGAGCGGUUAAAAGACAGCAUAAAGAUGCAUAACCGCAGUUCCUCUGGAGAGCAAAGAACGUGCCAAAACUUGCACUCAUCAACUAGCAGCACUUUUUCUUUCUGAACUAGUUGCAAUAUCAAGGAAAAAGAAUUCCAUGAUGUGGAACAAUUAUCAUCAUAAGUAUCAUAUGACAGAUCAACAUCUUGUUCAGAUCAAUCUACAUACAACACAUAUUCAAGGAAGGAGAAGCUUGUUCACCGUUUUGUUACGAUGAACUUGAAUUUUAAGCUACCAACAAUGUGCGAUAAAAUUUAGCAGAAGUAGGUGAGUCUCGCUCUAUACAUGCACAUUGUAACAACAUAAGUACAUCAGAAAUGAACUGUAAAAACAGGGAAAGUUCGCGUUUCUUCAUUGCACUCCAUGUAUAGUUAGCAGGGAUGGAUAGUUGCUUGGUUGUUCCUAACACAGCGUUUUCACUUCCUCAAAGUUCAAUAAUAUAGAACAUUUAACAGAAAACCUCAUUGACAUCUCAUACAACAAGAAAAAGCAGUGUCGAUCUAGAAAGCAUCAGAUGAACAGCUAGCUCCGGCACAGUAAACAUUAACAUGUACUAAACACAAGUUGCUGUCCUUGUUUGAGCAAAAAAAAUAAAUAAAACAAGCUCAUUUCCCUUCAUUUGAAUAUGUUGUAGGUUCUUAAAUUCAUGCUGUAAGCAGUGAACAUGAACAUUGCAUGAAAGUUAACAAUUGUCCCCCGUAUAGUUUCCACAAAAUGUACAAUUAGAGAUAUCUUGGCUACGUUUCAUUUCCAUUUUCACCCAUAUUUCCUCAAUUUAGUGCCACACAGGAUGAAAAUCAACAAAUUGAAACACAACAAAAAGUAAAUCCAAAUGUGUCAAAUUCUUGAAAUAAAAUCCCUACAGGAUUUUCCUUGUUAAUACACGUGCGGCUACAUUGACUUCAGUCAGAUUGCACAAAAUCAUUCUAAUACAUUGACAUCAAACAAAAUAGACUUUCUGUCAACGCUAUCAGUUUCUUACUUGGUGAUAUUUUAUAUGUGUUGAUUAUUGCCUCAGUUACUGCAGUAAAAGUAGGAGCAAUUGUUGGACAUUAUCCAGUUUUUUUAGCCAUGCUCUCUUUAACUUAGUUUAGUGGCUGAUUUUUAGAUGUUAGUGGUGCAGUUGUUUUGGAUAUUGCUGAUCAUGGAAUCAUGUACAAAGUAGUGGCUUAAUUAUAGGCUUUAGUUAUUGCAUUUUUUUAGUAUUUAAGCACCACUUCAAAUUUAAUGAAAAAUCAACCUUUGUGCAGUAAAUUAAUUUGUUGUCUUCUUUCUUUCUUUGUUUUCACUUCAAAGAGUUGAAGUUAACCUUACAACUCCAACAAAUUGGUAUCAAAGCUCUCUUCUUGAGGGACCUGCAUUUGAGGGAAAUAUAUCUUUCUCUUCUUAUUUUUUUCUCCUAUGGAUUCAGAGACUCCUUUCACUGUACUAGCACCACCUGUCUUCAAAAGUGAAGGCUAUCAUGUCUGGGAAGCAAGAAUGGAGGCACAUAUGGAGACAAACGAUUUGUGAGAAGCUGUUGAGGAGGACUACGAAGUUCCUCCCUUGCCUGAAAAUCCAAUCAUGGCGCAGAUGAGGAAUUACAAGGAAAAGAAAACAAGAAAAUCAAAGGCUAGAGCAACGUUAUUCGCUGCAGUCUUAUCUGAAAUCUUUGUCAGGAUUAUGACAUUGAAACCAGCUUUUGAGGUCUGGAAUUUCCUAAAUAAAAAAUAUGAAGGAGAUGAACGGAUCAAAAGUAUGCGUACUCUUAAUCUGAUCUGAGAAUUUGAACUUCAGAAGAUGAAGUAUUCAGAGACAAUCAAAGAGUAUUCUAAUAUGAUUACUUAACAUUGCCAACAAUGUAAGAUUACUCGGCUCUGCAUUUUCUGAUUCUAGAUUGUUUCAAAAAAUUCUAGUAACAGUCCCUGAAUGGUUUGAAACAACUAUUUUCGCACUAGUAAAUUCUAAGGAUUUGUCACAGAUUAGUUUGGCAGAACUACUGAAAGCUUCGCAGGCAUAAGAAUAUAGAAGACUUAUGAGGUCUGAAGGAUCUGUUGAGGGUGCACUACCUGCAAAAGUUCAAUCAAACCAGGGAGACCAAGGAAAGAAGAAGUGGAACAACAAGGAAAACUCAAGUUCUCAUUCUCCUGGGAUCCAUAGGGGAGCGAAACAUGAUUUCCCUCUUUGCAAGCAUUGUGAAAAGAAGGGUCAUCCACCGUUCAAAUGCUGGAGAAGGCCAGACCAACAGUGUGACAAAUGUCAGCAGAUGGGACAUCAUUAGAAGGUUUGCAAAAACAACACUCAACAAACUAAUGCUGCACAGGUAGCUAAUCAGGAAGAUGAAGAGCAACUCUUUGUAGUGACAUGUUUGGCAACUAGCUGCUCUAGUGACAAGUGGCUUACCGACAGUGGUUGCACAAACCACAUGACAUUUGAUCGUGAUCUCUUCAAGGAGUUGGAUACUUUAGUAAUUUCCAAAGUACAAGUUGGUAAUGGAGACUAUUUCUGCCGAAGGCAAAGGUACUGUGGAAAUGAAAUGCUCCUCAAAUACAAAACUAAUCAAAGAUGUGUUUUUUGUACCUAAAAUUAGUCAUAGUCUGUUAAGUGUUGGCCAGAUGCUUGAGAAUGGUUUCAAACUUCUCUUUGAAUCCAAUUACUGUCAAAUUAAGGAUGAAGAUGGCAAAAACUUAUUCAAGGUAAUGAUGAAGGGAAGGAGCUUUAUAUUGGAUCUUUUAGAUCAUGAGCAAAAAGCUCAUUCUGCAACUAAGAUCAAUGCACAAUUUUCGCACAAAAGACUCGGACAUUUCAAACAUGCUGCUGUAAUUAACUCACAAAAGAAAGAUCUGGUUCGAGGGUUGCCUAAUGUUGAAGCCGAAAUACCAGAUUGCAGAACUUGUCAAUUUGGCAAGCAAGCAAGACUUCCUUUCAAGAAAGCAAUCUGGAGAGCUACUGAAAAGCUAAAAUUAAUCCACACUGAUCUGACUGAUCCUCACCGAACUCCGUCACUCAAAGGGAGCGCUUUCCCCCGAAUGGGGCCCUACGCUAGGGGUGGGCAUAUUUUGGUUUAAACCAAAAAAAACGAAAAACCAAACCGAAAUUUAAUUUUGGUUUCGGUUUUUUGGAUCGGAUUUGGUUUGUAAUUUUAGAAUUUCGAUUUUUCGAUUCGAUUUUUGGUUUUAAAAAAAAAAUCGGUUUAAACCGAAAAACUGAAAUUUUAUAAAAAAAUAAAUAAUAUAUAUAUAUUUUAUUAUAUAUAUAUAAUAUUUAGUAAUUCACAUUCACAAUUAACAUUUAACAGCAAAUUCGCAUACGCCGUAGGCUGUUUAUGGAUUGUUUUAGUGACUCAAAUAUUUUAUGGACUAUUUUGGUGACUUUAGACUGUUUUAUGGACUAUUUAUGCAGAAAAUAUGUUGUUUCAUGGACUAUUUUUACGAGUUUUGUGUUGUUUUGUAGACUAUUUAUGCAAGGUUAUAUUAUAUGUAAUGAUUGAUGACGUUAUGUAUUAUCUUAAGCUUAUGAUUAUUUCAUUCCGUUUCAUCCAUUUUGAGUUAUUUAUAAUUAUUUAUAUUUAGGAAUGAAAAACAGGUUUGAAAAAAAUAAUUUUUCUAAAAAAAUUCAUCAAUUUUAAAUGCUCAGUUAUGAAAAAGAGAGGCUAACUACUUUAAUAUUUCAAACCGAAAUAAAAAUCCGAAAUAACCGAACCGAAUUUGUAAAAACCAAACCAAAUCGAAUUUAUUACGGUUUGGUUAUGGAUGUCAUUUUUGUCACUCCGAAAAUCGAUAAACCGAACCGAUAUUAAACAAUCAGACCGAACCGAUCGAACGCCCACCCCUACCCUACGCAGGGCGAAUCCAAAUUAGUCGGACUCCAAUGCGGGUACCGGAAACCGGAUGGGGAAAAAAUACUGCAAGACGGAUCUUUAACUGGCAGAUAUGUUUACCAAAGCCUUGCCAAAGAGCAAAUUUAAAUUUCUCAGAGAAAGACUUAGAAUUUGCAGCAACUGAAGCAAGGAGGAGUGUUGAUUAUUGCCUCAGUUACUACAAUAACAGUAGGAGCAAUUGUUGGACAUUAUCCAGCUUUAUGAGCCAUGUUCUCUUAACUUGUUUAGUGGCUGAUUUUUAGAUGUUAGUGGUGUAGUUGUUUUGGAUAUUGCUAAUAAUGGAAUCAUGUACAAAGUAGUGGCUUAAUUAUAGGCUUUAGUUAUUGCAUUUUUUUAGUAUUUAAGCACCACUUCACAUUAAUGAAAAAUCAACCUUUGCGCGGUAAAUUAAUUUGUUCUCUUCUUUCUUUCUUUCUUUGUUUUCACUUCAACGAGUUGAAGUUAACCUUACAACAAUAAUAUGGACGGUGAAUAAUACUGAGAGUCAGACAAGUACGAUUAACAACAACAAUAAAUAGAAAGAAAGUUUAACAUUAUAUGAAUGUAACCUGUAGUGUGUGUGUGUGUGUAUAUAUAUAUAUAUAUAUAUAUAUAUAUACAAAGGUUACUGAAUUACGUUAACCCGUAAGUGGGCUACAAGAUAAUCUGUUUAAAUUGUCUUGUUCUUAGCCAUUUCUAUACACAUUGAUGCUUACGACAGUGACAACCUUGCUGCUAAUGACAAUAUUGUCUUGGUUGAGACAGCAUAAAACAUAUCUAUGCAUCUGUAAUUUUCAUUAUUUUGAUGUUUCACCUACCUCAUAAAUCUAGAGGAAAUGUUCAAAAACAAGAACAGUGAGCUAAGUGGUCUAAGGGGCUGCAAUUUUGCAGUGCCCCAGCAUCCAUUAAUACGAUGCAAACUGGGUAUAAUAAUAUAAGAAAUGUAUAAAAAUUGGUAUAGGAUUUAAAAGAGAAUGCUGGAAACCAAGAUGAUAGUUGAGUGAUUUGGUUUAUUGGCGGAACCUUAAGGCCUUGGGCAUCAAUAUGUGUGUUUGAACCCGACACUCACGAUCACUAAAUCCUGAAUCUGCCACUGAUGUGGUCUCAUGAUACCUAACUAAUCACUAUAUGAAACAUCUAUGGCCUUUACAUUUUCUUUAAUUUGAUGUUGCAGCCUGCCACAUUAAUCUAAUGGACCUUUUCUAAUUAAAAACAGUGAGCUAACUGGUCCAAUAAUGCCUAACUAAUCAGUACAUAAGGACCUAAAGAUAGUUGAGCCAUAUAAGCAUUUCACAUUACAUUCUUCUGCACUUUUUUCUUCCCCUUUCAUAAUAGUACCAAGCCAAAAGGUACCUACAAAGAUGGAAGUUAAGAACAAGUAUGUAGCAAUAAAAGCCAACAUAAAUGGUGCACCAGAAGAGUCAGACUUCGAGAUAAAAGUCGAAAACCUCUCACUUAUGGUUGAGCCAGAGUCUAAGGUGGUGGUUGUCAAGAACCUGUUUGUAUCGAUUUAGCCGUAUCAGAUAAACUGAAUGAAGAGCCAAAGUUCAUCACAAACAUCGAAGUUGUGCAACUACCAUUACUCCUGGAGAGGUCAUUGACACUUAUGGUGUAGGAAGAGUGUUGGUUUCUCAUCGGCCCGACUUCAAGAAAGAUGAUUUGGUAGCAGGCUUUCUUACCUGGGGAGAGUACACUAUAGUAAAGGAAGGUUCCCUGUUGAAUAAGUUGGAUCCUAGACUGGAGUUUCCUUUGUCUUACCAUGUCGGAGUUUUUGGAUUCAGUGGACUUGCUGCCUAUGGUGGAUUCUUCGAAGUGUGUAAGCCGAAGCCAGGGGAAAAAGUUUUCGUGUCUGCUGCUUCUAGUUCAAUAGGAC
rnacentral:lncRNA from 1 species